rnacentral:lncRNA from 1 species
UUAUUCUGUCCUUGUUCCAGACUAGAGUUGGCUGACCAAGCUGAACCUGUUAGUCUCUCUGAGACUUUGGGAUCCAGGAUAGAAAUUCUAGGUACAGUUGGAGGAAGUUAUAAAUGUGAGUAGUGUCGUAUUUUGUAUUUAUUAUAAAGACUGAGAUGGCAGAAAAUACUGCUAAGCAAUGAACAAAUUCAAGAAGCAGAAAAAGAAGAACAAAUAUUCUAAGGGUUUUUGAGGCUUUGGUUUCAGUUUUUCCCUUUGGCUUAAGUUUCAAUAUGUUACUUGCAACCAAACAAGUCCUAACCAAUACUUGCCAAUGCCUUUUAUGCCAAGAUAAUUCACAUUGACUCUAUUACCAUCCUGUAGAGGAGCAAAUGACUUGGUAUUUUUCACUAGCCAUGUGAAGUCAUUUCUCUAUCCAUGUGGUUUCGUUUAGGAGUUGAGGCACAAAAAGAAAACCACGUGUUUACAACUUCAAAAUUCUGGAGCCCUUUAAAUUAUCAGAGAGACAUUAAAAAUGAUACAAGCGAUAUUGAUUGAAUUUUAGUUUGACCAAUCAAAAGUUUUAAAGUAUAAUGAAUAUUUUUGUCAACUUACCUUUGAACAGUCUGCUUACUGCUGGUGAAAGAAAACAUAUCUGCUUUUUUGUUGUUGUUAUUUUUAAAUAGGUUUUCGAGAAUAUGCAGUUUUCCUCCUAAAAAUGAAAAAUUCUAUACAUGAACUUUGUUUUCUGUUUAAUUAACUCCUUUUUCUAGAAAGGUGAAUUUAAGCUGGCCAGAAAAAAAAAGAUGGAAAACCAUGAAUCUAUGCAAACUAUUGGCUGGCAUAACUUAAACAAGGUAUUUAGUUGUAAUUCAAAUCUCAACACUGCUCUGCAACUUGAGUUAAUUAUCCAAUUCCUUACUCACUCAGUUUUCUUAUCUACAAAAUGAGGAUAAGGACACCUACCUCAUUGGACAAUUGUGAAUAAGUAAAUGACUUCAUAUGUACAGGUCAUGAAGAAUAGUACCUUGCAUUAGAUGUGUACAUCAUUUGCGCAUGUGAUGUGUAAAACAGCUCAAUUCAUGUUAGCUAUUGUUUGCUCAGACAGAAAUGCUAGAAAACAUACAGUGUUGAUUGUCCUUGCUAGAAGUACAUUUGGAGUACAACUAGCCCUUCAACAAAUGGAUAUUUCACAUUACUCCAUUUUUGUAAUAUUUUCAAGGUAUUGAAAAACUAAAUUAAAGCUUAAACUGAAAGAAAAAAUGCACACCCUAUGCAACAUUUAGGAAUAAUAGGGGGCUGUCACAAAGUCUAACAAUACAGACUGCCAAAUUAUCAGUAUCCUGGGGACUCUGCCCAUACGAAGUCUUAAAAUAGACUUAUUCUUUUCCUUUUUUUCUUUUGUAACAGAACCCCUAUUUUUUUUUGUGAUAAGCAUUCCAUAUGAUUCAACUGGGAAUUAAACUGAAUCAUCUUCUUCCAAGCCACAAGGUGGGCACAUGAUCAAGGACUAGCCAGUAAGAAUGUCCUGUCCAGAGCUGUGAGGAAAAGCAUUCCCUCUGUAAUGGGAUGUGAGCUUUUGAUUACUGGCCAUGAUCCACCAAAGUGAAGAGACCUAUUGGAUAAAGAGAGAUGAGAUCUUGAUAGAUUUCUCUGAGAUUCUGUAUUUCAGCCUUACUUUGGGGGGUGGGUGGAGUAUCAUCUGAAUUUUAGUGAUAUAGCUCUCUAAUAUUUUUAGUUAAUUUUUUUUCUUUAUACUAGUUUAAGUAAGGUCUUAAAUCAUUCCCAACUGAAGUUUCAGAUGACUAUAUAUAGCUAUUCUGUGUUUCCUUUUAGAAGCUAAAGUGUAGCAUUCACAUUUUGCUUUUAGAAGAAUGGAAUACAAUAAUAUCUGCUCUCCUCCUCAAUAGAAAAAAAAACAAAGAGGAAUUUGGUUAUUCUCUUUUUCCCCUAGUCCAGUUAAAUUUAAGAAUUAGAAAAUUUGGCUAACUAGAGAAGAUUGAAAAAGAAUCAAGAAACAGAUUUUAAUUAAAAAAAAAUUUUAACAAAUUGGUGUUAAUUCUAAGUUCACCGAAGUCAAAUAUGGAGCCAUCUUAAAAAUAUAGGUUUUAGAAUGAAGACUUCCAAAUUCAUGAAGCAGGAGAUUAUGUCAAAUUUAGUUAUCUGCCCUACACUAAGAUCACACAGCAGUAUCAAAGGUAGGCUUUAGUUCAAUUGGAAAAACAUUCUGAUACUUCACUCAGAAGCACAUUAGACUUUAUCUGAACAUGUAAAUAAAUUAUUUAUAAGAAGAUGUAAAUAAAUUAUUUUAAACCCAGCAAAAAGAAUGAGAAAGCACUGAGUACAUCCUAACUCUGUGUCCUAUCCCCUGCCCCAUUUUCCUAUCCCCUUUAAAAUGAGUAAUCCUCAUUCCAGCAAUAUGUACUGGGUGAGAAAGGGUCAGCAGGUGGUUUGGUGGCAGAAAACUCUUUAGAAUGUCAUGAAAGACUCUUUCCUUUGGGAAUAGUUAGGAAACUUCCAUCUGCCUAACUAACAUCCACCCAAGGCAAAAGUAAAAGAAAAUUAAAUUCUCUCUACCCAUCCCUUUCUUCAUCAUACCAUCUCCUACAGAAACACUGCUUUCCAAUUUUUGUAGCUCUCCACACUUCCUUGAAUGCUCAAAUAUUCAGAGGAUGUGGGAAAACACCACUAACUGGAAAUACUGAAGUUUGGUCAUACUUAUCAACUCUAGACAUGUGUUGUGACAAGAGCCAUAUAUAGUACACAAGGUCUAAUUGUCCAAAACUACCUAUCUUUUAAACCUAUCACAAGUCUUGCCACUUUCAUUGACCUUCCCAAUUAUUUUAGUUUUUGAAAAUUUCUUAAUUUUCCUGAACUAGUAGAAGGGCUGAUUGUAAAUGGUCUUAUGAUGUUUUCUAUUUUUUAGUGUAUAGGACUUUCUGAUAAAAUAUAUAGUCUUUAGGGGAAAGCAUACAACUACUUUUAUUUAAUUCAUUUUCACCCAGUAGCUCAUCUUGUUCUAGGUUAAAUGUAUAUGAAUGGAGACUUUCCAGUAGUCUUACAUGUGUCAAUUAAUGCUGGUUUCUUCUAUACGUUCUAUAAAUCUUUGCAAAACAGCACAAAGUUACUAUCUACAAUUUCAGACCAGACUGUACACUCUUAAGCAGCCAUAUAAUUAAUAAAACUAAUUAAAAUUGUAAAGAAAGCCAGCAAAUAACACAAUCACUGUUGUAGCACAAUCAUUCCAUAUUAUUCGCUUAAGUAAUUAUUUGCUUAAGUACUCAGGUAAAACCUGGCUCUGCAUCUUGUGGAGAACUUAAAAGAUCAGUAGGUUAAUAUGGAGAAAGGAAGUGAGAAGUUUAUAAAGGAAUUACUUCAAAAGUAAAAGCAAAUUAAAUUCUCUGGAAAAACAAAAAGAAAAGCAAAAGGAUAAGAUAAAAGGAAAAUUACUGAUGUGUGCACAAAUAUGCAUAUAUUAUUUUUCUGUGUGUCCGUAUACAAACACAUAAGAGGAAUGCAAUGAAAUCUGUUUCUUUUUAUGGUUGACUCUUCUGUGUGUAGUGGGAUUUUCUGGUUACAUCUGAGCUAAAUAUUAUGGCAAAUAGCAGAACACAGUAGUUAUUGCACAUGAUUGUCUGUGAACUGGGUGGGCAGGAAUUUUUCAUUUCAUAAAUCAUUUCAGCUUGCUGCUCUAAUUUCAUAGCACUGAGAGACUAAAAAAAGCUCAAGAAGGAAAAACGUGUUUUGUGUCUCAUCGUAGUCUACCCUUCCCAGUUUAGAUAGGUCUUUAGUGUUAAUGACCAGUUGGUUUUUUUUUUUUUUUAAAGAUGUUUCAAACUAUCAUUAUUGUUCUGGUUUUGAAGCAAAUUAUUAUGCUUUCUUAUUUAUUUUCUUCCUUACCAGGAAAAUGUAGUACCAAAGCAAUUGGGCAUACUGCUCCCUUCCUUUAUUUAUGCUUAUUUAUAGGGCAAUCUGUAUCAAUGAAAUAAUGCUAUAUUAUUUUCUUGCUGAUUGCUUCAUGUUCAUAGUUCAAACUUCCAGCCAAGGUCCUAAAGUGGUUUUGCCCUUAUUUAAGAUUUUCUGCUACAGACAUUCUAUUACAGCUUUGCAAAUAAGUACCUCCCCAGCCUCAACUUGGUACAAAGGUAAUUUAGUAAUUUAAAUAAACACCCUUGCCAAUCUGUUUCCUCCCUUCUAGGAGACUGGGGAAAUAGUUUCCCUCAUAUUUCAGGGUUUUCCCCACUUUUUAAAAAUAAUCCUUUAGCUUUCAACCAAGAGAUCUUUUUUAUUUGCCCCUUUCAAUGCUUUAUUCACUCAAAUUACUCAAUACAAUUAUACUCUAUAGAUUCUUACUCAAAAAAUAACAAUCCUUAAUUCUAGGCACUGCAAUAGACAUAAUCCAUUCACAGCAAAAAAAAUAGAUUGAUUAAUUUAUUGCUAACUAUUCUAGAAUAAUCCUAAGCACUGCAAAACACACUUAAUCAUGACAAGCUAGUGACAGACAUUCCCUCUGUGUGCUGUUUAUUUUUUAUUAUUUAUUUUUUUAAUAGUUGUGCAUGACAAUACACUGAUUUCAACCAAGAGAUCUUUAGGUAAAUUGUCUUUAAUAUGUUUCCAGGACAGAUACAGAACACACAGUGGGACAAAGACUAAUAAAAUGAGUAAAAAUUUUGCUUAACAGCAAAUGUAAUGACUAUAGUUUUGGAAUUUGCCUACUGUGUGGGUUAGAAAUUUAAUUCAGUUCUCUAGACUAUGUGGUUAUCAUGAUUAAUCAAAAUCUAGAACUAUAGAACUAUGGCAUCCUGUCUUCUGCCAGGAACUCCCCAUGCCCCUUCUCAGUGGCAUUUCCCACAACAGUAAAAAUACAAACAAACAACAAACAAAAAACUGUCUUUAAGUUUUUCCUGUAUUCUAAUCUUGCCUUUUCCCCUAGCAUUUCGAUAAAGCCCUCAUAUGUUUACUAAUCUCACAUUUAGAAUUGGUUAACAGAAACUAGUAUACAAACGUCAAAUGAAAAAAAAAAAGGUACCCCUUAUACUUAAACAAACUUUUAAAUUCACCAUGUUAUUGCUAAAAUGAACAGAAUCACAGCUGUGCUGUGUUAACAUGGAAACAGCCUCUGUGCUAAGUGAGCUUUUGUUGGUUUUAGUCAGUAGGUUUCUGAUUGAAUUUUCAUGAACAUUUUGAGUAUCAUUUGCUCUUAAUUUCUUCUGCGACCAUGCAAACCACACUACUCAGUUAACCACUGUGAUUUGAUUUCAAGAAAGUUAAAAAGAAUUACAUAAAAACAAAUUCAUUAUUAUUACAUGGCUGAAUUUAGUGUGGUUCUUCUUGUAUUGCUUGAUUUUUUGAAAGGAAGUGUAAAAAUUGAAGCAAUAUGAGAAUAAUCCCUUGUUCCAAGCUACAAGAUAGAGAACUAGUAACACAAGCAGAAUUAAAUCCUUUAUUUUUAUUCAAUGUGAUUAGUUUGUGUAAGUAUGGACUUGCUUAAGUAAAAGAUGCAAAUUCUUGAUUUAACUAUUAUAACUCAUGAGGGGGAAUAAAAAAGUCAAAAAAGUCAAGUGAGCUGUCCGUGGGGGCUCGCGCCUGUAAUCCCACUGGCCCAGGAGGCUGAGGCAGAAGGAUCACAAGUUCAAAGCCAGCCUUAGCAAAAGCAAAAUGCUGACAACUCAGUGAGACCCUGUCUCUAAAUAAAAUACAAAAAAAAAAAAUAGGUCUGGGGAUGUAGCUUAGUAGGCAAGUGUAAAGUCAAGUGAAACAUAGUGCUACGUUUUGUCACAGAAUUAAUUCUCAAAAUACUCAUUUAAUAAAUUUCAAAAUAGAAGUGAAUGAAUAACCCACCCAACUUGGGGUAGGCCAAAUCAGAAAUCUUUCCUGGGAUUUUUGAACAUAACCAAUAGAAAGCAUCUUUCAGUCUCACUCUAGAGGCAAGACUGUAUCACAGCAUACUAGAUCUAACAGAUUUUUAGUGUAAGACUAGAAUCAGAAAGAUUUGGGGACUUUGGGGGUUUUUUUUGUUUGUUUGUUUUGGUUUGGUUUUUGGUGAGUGUGUGUGUGUGUUGUGUAUGUCCAGCUAACUGCCUCCUGUGCCCUCCACUGGUUUUCUUGAGAUUUGGUUACAUGCAUCAAUAGAUAUCCCUUUUACCUAAUUUAGCUUAAUUUGGAUUUAAGUCACUUCCAAAAAAAAAAAUCCUCAUAAUAAUAUUUAAAAAAUUGGUUUUGUGUAUUUUUUUGUAAAAUUUGCAAAAAGAAAUAGAUAUAUUAAGCUGGGUAUGGUGGCACAUCCCUGUAAUCACAGAGAUUCAGGGAAUGUGAUUCUGAUUCUGCUGAGGCAGGAGGAUUGCAAAUUCCAGGCCGGUCUGAGCAACUGGUGAGACCCUAUCUCAAAACAACAACAACAACAACAAAAAACCUGGGGAUAUAGCUCAGUGGCAAAGUGCCUCUGGGUCCAAUAAUCAGUACUGCCACAAAAAAAGAAAAAGAAAUAGAUAAAUUUAUAUUUAUUUUCUUUUACAUGCUCUUGUCUUUUUCUCUUGAAUUAAGGUCCUGGGCAUUUCUGGUACAUGUCUCAUUAAUAGGAAAUCAUGAAAACAAACUAUAAGAUUUAAGGGGAGAAUAUAUAUAUAUUAUAUAUAUAAUAUAUAUAUAUGUAUAUAUAUAUAUUAUAUAUAUAUAUAUAUAUAUAUAUAUAUAUAUAUAUAUAUAUAUAUAUAUAUAUCAUACUAUACUAUACAGUACAACUUGCAGGGAUGAUCUUUUUAUAUUUGUAUUUUCUUCCCUUAAGUUCUUUUUUCUCUUUCAUAAUAUGUUUCCAAUCCCUUUCAGACCAGGCAAGAACAAAUGUUUUAGUUACUGUGGCCUAAACAGAGGUCUUUUAUAAAAGAGAGCUGAGAAGGGCAGAGUAGACAAGAAGUUUUACAUUUUUACAAAGAAGGUGGGGGUGGAGGAGGAGAGAGGUAGAAAUCAGUGAUGAGAGGAGGCAGGUAGUAGAUACAGCCUCUGUAAACUAUUUUUUCCCUGAAUUACUGUAAGGUAUAAUCAGCCACAUGCUGCUCAUUUUGAGUUUCCUUUGCUACCUUCCCCAGCUCUGGCAACUUGUAUGUGUACCUAUUUGCCUGAGUGUGUCAUGGUACAUCUGGUAGGGUUAGUAAGAAGGAUGAGACAUGACAGGAAAAUGAGUACUGAACUCAUUUAAAAGCCAAAGAAAAUACUCUGCAGUUGAGUCAAUAGUCCUCCAAGAAUUUUUUCAGUACCUAGUAAUGUACACAUCUUUUUUCCUUGGGCAGAGGAAGGGAAAGGCACUGAUUUUCUCUAUGUUCUUAAGUGAUUUUUUUGGUCUUCUUUAGUGUCUGAGUAAUCUUCAUGAAAUAAACAAUGAAAGAAAAUUCUAUCUUGAAAUAUUUUGUUCUCAUAUUUUUAUAGUUAGGCUUAAAUAAUUUGAGAAGAAUUAGGGACUUAAUUCCUCCUAAUAAGAGUUAGUGGUCAUAGCUGGUAACUAUGAAUAAUAGUAGUAGCUAAACUUUAAUGAGCUCUUAUGUGUCAAACACCAUGCAGAGAGUUUAGGUAGGUUAUUUCACUUGAACUCUGUGUGUUGUUUGAUUUCCCUUACUUUAUAUAUGAAAAAAAAAAAAACAGAGACAGAGAGUUUGGAAGUGGUAAUCAUGGUAGUUGGUGUUAAAAUAGUAGCAGACUUAUUGCUAACAUUUAGUAAUAUGUGGCAAGAGUAAUUCAAGUACUGUUUUAUUUAAUCCUUACAAGAAUAUAGUGAUUCAAGUGUGACCCUUUCAUUUGUUUCUGAAUGCUGGGUGUUAUAAGCUAUAUUAUUUUCAUUUAUUAUUUGUUAUUUAGGAAAGAUAGGGAACACUAAAUUCAAUCCUCAUUUACAUAAGUCAUUCAAAAUUCAGAAAUAUUCAAAUGUAAAAUUAAAUGUGUAUCUUUAAGCCAAAGCAAGGUGCUAUUAUUUUCUCAUCUUGCAAAUGGAGAAAUCAAGGCUUAGUGGCAAUUAAAACCAUGCCCAAAUUUAUACACACCGCUAGUAACAAAGUCAGAAUGUAAACAUGGGUCUUCCUAGUAUAGAAUGUGUGUACAUCUAAAUUGGUCUUCAGUGAUGAGAGAAAAUAUCAGAUUUUCCUUGGCAGAUUCCAGAGCAAAGCAUCAGUCAAAAGCAUUUAAGAAGAAAAAUUUCCAAUACUUACUUUACAUAAUUUUGAAUGGAUAUCUAAAAUAAAAAUUAAAAGGUAGAUUGGAGCCAGGCAUGGUGGCUCACACCUGUAAUCCUGUAAGCAGGAUUACAUCUUCACACCUGUAAGCAGCUCAGGAGAUUGAGGCAGGAGUACCACAGGUUCGAAACCAGCCUCAGCAAUUUAACGAGGCUGUAAGCAACCUAGUAAGCCCCUGUAUCAAAAUAAAAUAUUAAGUGUGCUGGGGAUGUGGCUGUGUUGCUCAGUGGUUAAGUGCCCUUGACUUCAAUUCCUGGUGCGCACACAAAGUAGAUUGGAGGCAGCCUCUGUAACCACUCAUCUGGAAUCUUUAAAUAUAAAUUCUCUUAGCAGCAAGAUCAUGAAAUAAUUGCCUGAAUACCAACUGGACUCUCCACUUCCCCUUUCCUUGAAAAGUCAGCCAUUAGCUGGAUGUCUGUCUUGGCUUUUUGCCUAAUUGGGCAAUUCUAAGAGAAAAUAUUCAUAUUUUGAACAGCAUCAUUUCUUCACACAUAUUUAAUGCCACAAACAAAGACAUUUUGAGAAGCUAAAUAAUAGUGCUUGGGCAUAGUUUCAAUCAUGUCUUACUACUUUGUUAUAUGACCCAAUUCCCUAGUUAACAUUUUCUCAGGCAGUUAUUUCCUGUGCUCUUCCUGAGGUUUCCACAACUAGCCAUUUUUUAGGAGAGUGGUAGUUAAAAUAAUAGAGCUUUUAAGGAAUCUGAAGUUUAGUGAUUAGGAUUGUGGCCAAUGGUUGCAUUUCCUGCUAUCUGUGAGAAUAUAUAAAGUAGAAUUCCUUCCUAAUUAUUGCAAAAACAAACAUCCUUACAUUUUUUUUUCCUCCAGAAGAUUGAUAAGAGAAAGAGUCAGCAGACCAUAGUGCCACAGGAACAUUGUACUUUAAGAGAAACAAAACAGGAAACAAACCAAGAAAACCUAUCUUGAUUUCCAGAGACAAACUGAGAAACAGCCAGGAGAAACAUGUUUAGAUAGGCGUGAUGCAAUCAAAGGUUUACUAUAUCAUAACAAAGAGGUCUGCAUAUGAUCAAACUUUUGAACGUUCUCUUGCUGAAGAUAUUUGGAAGCAGUAUUAUUUAUUUUCCAAUAGAUCUUAAAUGGAAAAGCACAGAUCUUCAGAAGACUGGUUUAUAAUGAAGAACAGUUUUGAGCAUACAAAAGAUAAAACAGCCCUACGUUUCAAACCACCAUAGUUUAAGUUGUUUGCCUGAAAGGGCAAGAGACUUUAUCAAAAUGAACACAACGAUAUCCAUGUCCUUAUAUAUUUGAGAAUGCUUAUGAUGGCAACUUUUCCUUCCCCAGGAAUUUCAUCCUUCUGUAUGUAUUAAGAAAUUCCAUCUUUCUUAAUAAAAGUUAUAGCCAAUUCAGUCAAGCAUAGGAUCAGGCUGCCCAAAUCCUUUCCCCUCUGCAGAGUCUGGCUGGUUAUUUUUGCCACCCCUGUGCCAGUUCAGUCCUUACGUGUGAUCUGUUUUUGAUUGUGCAGCAGGUGCUGUACUGUGUGGCACUUCUUAGACAAGAAUUGGGUAUGCACAAAGAUGUCUACAGUUAGGUGAUAAAGGGGAAAGAAUGUCAGCUACAUCGUGAGCCUUAAAAACAAAAAAGUUUGCCCUUUGAACCCUUUGCAUGACAUUCUGGAAAUAAGAAAACCAUUCAUAGCACUUAGCAUCUGAUUUUUCCUGUGUUUUGGUAACUAUUUAUCCUAACUGCCAAAGGAGUUGCCCUUCUUCUCUUUGCAUAGGUGAUUUGAGUGAGAACCAGCUAAAAAUUUGCGUGUGGAGCACAAGAUGCUGGCUUUUACUAUUCUGUUCUCCUUUAUUGAUUUAUUUCCAUUGACUGGCAUGAUGCCUGGCAUGUAGAAGGAAUUCAAUAAACAUAUGUUGAUUUGAAGAAGGAAGAUACAUGUUCCAUUUGAGUUUCGUUUCAGAAAAGUAAAAGAAAAAAAUAUAUAUAUAUAUGCCCACACAGACAUAUAAUGAAAAGAAUUUUUACAUAUAGAUAGAUAAAAAGAAACCAGAAAUGCUAGUUUAUUAAUAAUAGGUCUAGACAAUGAAAUGGAAUCACAAGGUACAUUUAUUUGUUUGAUCACAGGUCGUAUUUAUAUUUAUCUUACACUUCUUGACUUGGAGGCAACAGUCUCCUUCAGUUAGGUAAAUCUGUAUUUCUCUCCAUCUUAGUAGAUCUUAACUGUCCUAUUUGUUUGCUACCAUUAGACCUCCCCCCAUGCCUUAAAUAUCUUUCACUUUCCCUGUGCUAACAGCAUCUGUUUCUGCCUUCUAGAAGUAUCUGCCCCCAUGUUCCCAUGUGCUGUCCCUCAAGUCAGCUGAGGGGCAUAUGUGAGGAAAACAAUGCCCCAAGUUAUCAAUGAACAAGUGAAAAUUUGAUUAAGUGUAAGAAACUUUGAAAUAUUAUUAGUUCUAAAAAAGUAGGCAAAGUCUUUUAUGAAUUUUUAAAUUGUCUUCUGAAAAUAAACUCACUGAAUGUAGGAAUUCUCUCUCUCUCUGAAUUCUUUCUCUAUAUAGUGUCUAGUGAGAAAAUAAUAUGCACAUCAAGCUAUGACUUUCUGAUUUUAGAAUUUAGAAGAGAUAUGGCUACAGUUCUUACCUUGAUAUUUUAACCCUUCAACACCAGGAAAAAGAAUAAAUAUUUAUUCAUGGGACAGAUCACAACAAAUUUCAAAGUUAAUUGAAUGUAAAAGGAAAAUUUCCUUUGGUAUUUGGUUUUCAUACAGGUAACCAUAGUUACUUCUAUAUUAUGGCCAUUAAAUUUAUUAACUGUGACACCUAAAAAAUAAUCAUAAAAUGUGAAUGUUAUGCAUAUAUGUAUUUUGUUGGUAUCAGAGAUUGAACCCAGGGGCACUUAACAACUGAGCACAUCCUCAGCCUUUUAAAAGUUUUAUUCUAAAAUAGGGUGUUGCUAAGUUGCUUAGGGCCUCCCUAAGUUGCUGAUGCUGGCUUUGAAUUUGUGAUCCUCCUGCCUCAGCCACCCAAGUUACUGGGAUGACAGGCAUGCACCACCACAUCCAGUUGAUUGCUAUAUUUUUUCAAAAAAGGAAAUUGAUUAAAGAAACUAGAGAUAAUGUAUUUUAUCUAAUUCCACUGUAAGUAGUACUUACUCCAAGGUUAAAGUCACAAAGUGUCAGGAAGUAGGGGAUUCUGUUAUGGCACGAAAUUCUCAAGCUAUUGAAAAUGAGUUAAAAUGCAAGAACUUGAAAUUGCAUACUAUCAUGGACAAUCUGGUGGUUCAUAUUCAUACCAUCAUUACAAAAACAGAUUGUUUGUUUUAUAAUUUUCUUUCAUUUUUAUUUAAAUAUAUCAGAUUUGAUAUGUUCCCUGUCAGAGGUUAGGUUCCCAGUAUCCUUUCUCUUCAUUUUUAUUUUGUUGAAUAUUUUCCAGAAAUUUUUAAUAUCAAGUUAUAAAAAUGAUUUUUUUAACCAAGUGUCCAUCUACUCAUUUAAGGAACACUCUUUUCUUACAUAAAUAUUCUGCUCAGAAUCCACUGUACUGAUUAAAUCAUAGAUUGCUCCCUACUGUACCCAGAUUUAUAUAUAUUAAUAAAAAAGUGUUCCAAGUACAAUAAAAGCACAAGAAAACUCAAUAUAUUUUGGUUUCCAUCAAUCAGUUUAUAGUGGUUGAGCUCUAAGACAUUUAUUUUCUCUGUGUCUGCUAUACUGUGACUUCUGCAACCAUUCUCAUGCUAGGUAUCCAUUUCCUUUGUGUUCUUAUCCAUGUUUACUCCAUUAUUACAGGUCAAGUGGCAUUCUAGGUCUUAGAUCCAAAGGGUUCUCCAUCCUCCUGCUGUUUUGAGCAAUCAAAAAAAUUUAAAUUUGAAGUUCAAUGGAAACCUCAGAAUUUCAAUGAACAAAUUCCACUAUCUCAAAACUAUCAGAACCACAGACCUUCAGAAUCCCUAUUCAAUGACUUUAGUGUACAUGUUUAUCUGAGAAUAGAGAAUAGAGCUUCCCAACACAAGAAAGAAAGAGAAAAAACUGGCACUUUUUCCACAGCCCUUAACUGAUGCCUUGAAAACUUUGGCCAAAUAUGUGUGUGGUUAAGGCAGUAACAAUUACCAUAUAAAUGAGUCAUCACUUGGUUUAUGUUUUAUUUGAGUCAGGUACACAGAGCAUAAUGUGAGUGAGUUCAGGUGGACCAAAUAAAGAACUACUAUGCUGCUCUGACUAAAAUGUAAAUUAAUAAUAUCUAAUAAAAAUAGGUGACUUUGCAAAUAAAUGAUAAUGCAGUUAGGAAAGUCUGUUUCACUUCCCUAAAGAGUUAAAUGAACUGUGAGAAUAAAAAUUUAUCCUUUAGAGAUUGUGUGUUGUGUGUGUGUGUGUGUGUGUUCACAUUCAUUGAGCUCACAAGCACUCACAAGUGGACAGAUGACCACUUGACAAUAAUACAGUUAAAGAUUUCCAAGGGGAGCCAGCUGAAGCCGACUCCUCCCCUGGGGAGGGAGUGUGGUGUGCAGGAGGAGUGUUUUGUGGAAUUUGAAUCACCAAAUGACACCUAGGGUGUCCUGCCCAAGGACUAAGCUAUUAGACAAAACCCAAAGACUUAGUCUGGAGAAAUUUUCUGUGGAGAUAGUGAGCCUGAAGCAAGACCAGACAGCAUCCAUUUCCUGGGUUUCCAUUCCCUAAGAGUGGUAACUCAUAGAAAAGAAGUUUGGGAGGGAGGGUUUCCCAGAAAACUCAGGAAAGUGAGUUCAAGAAUAGUGGAUGUUCUUGAGGAGAAAAACAAAUUUCAUGUGUUGUUGUUUUUAAUAUUGGACUUUGGGAAAAGUCAUAUUUACUUAGAGACUUUAAUCUUGGUCCCUUGACACUCCACAACCUUUCAAUUUACCAAACUCUGUAGAAAAGUCUGAUACAUUCUAACAAUAUCAUGAGAUGGUGCUGUGGUGGCUGAAGAAAUGGAAUAGAAAAGAGAACGAUGUCUUUGGGGCACUGUAUUCUUUCUGAGGGGACCGUGUUCUGAAAUUCUAGGUAAUAUCAAUAACAGAUAAGGGGACAACAGAAAAGUGCUCUGUGGUAGAGCAACUAGAGGAGGGAAGUCCACAAGAGAGCUGUGACAAAGUUGGCCAGGCUGGAGGCAAAUGAUACUUGAGACAGAGAUGAGAGGAAGGCAAGAUAACUUACAUAGAGGUGGAGAAAAAAAUCCUAAUUUGUUAUGUUAAUUAAUUUAUAUACAUCAUCAUAUUUAAUUCUAGCAGAGAUGCUUUGUGACAUCUUAUCACUGUUAUUUACUCUUUUCUAAUCUGGAAGACCUGAAAAAUGAGUCUGAAGUAAUAUGGCUGGCUGCUUCAAGGUCUGACAUUAGAAACAAACAAGCAGGAAAAGGAAGAUCCAGGUCUGUCUUAUUUAAGUCCACAUUGUUUUUGUAACAUGUAUGAUUAUGCUUUAUAUCAGCUAGAGAUUUAUAAAUUAUAAUUAUAUUUUGUAUUUUUCUGAGUGACUUAUAGAAUUGUAAGUCUUGCAUAAGUUAAAAGUAACUUUGAAGAAAUAGGUUAUUCCCUAUAAAACUGAAAAAAUAAAGUAGAUCAAAAUUAAUUUGAUUUUUAAAUUAUUUACUCCCUCUACUGGUGACUCUCUAGAAUGAUAUCAGUGAAAUAAAAUAAAAUUGAAUAUACAAAGAUCAAAAAUCUCAAAAUAAAAUUAAUAUUGUUUGUUAAAAACUAUAUUUUAUGAAUUGACAUACUUUUUUCCCUCACCUUUUGUCCUCAUUAUUACAGAAAUUUCUCUUUAUUUUAGAGCAAAGUAACAGGAUUUAUUUUUGAAACAGAAAUGGAGGGGGUCCCAAUUGGGUUGCCCAUAAAAUCUUUUAGAGUAAAUUUUUGUUAAUGUUUAAAGAAAAACAUACUUAGCAUUGUCAUAAAAUGCAUUUCUCCUAGAAUAUAACUAACUAAAUAUCAAUUCUUCGCUUAGUUUCCAAUUUAAAAUUGAUCUCUUUAUGUCCAUAUGUGUAUAUGAAUAUAAGCUUUUAUUUUCUAAUUGUAUGAUGGAAUUUAGAUUCAAAAGAUACUGAAAUAAGGGCUUAAGAGGCUCAUAAAAUGUUUAGGGAGAGCAAUUAGACCUGGAAAAGAUAUACUAAUGAAGAAAGAUAAUCAAAUAGUUACUAGAAAAGGGGCAUAAAUAGUAUUGGCUAAUAUGACUGACACUGAAGCUUCAGGACUUUUCCAAACUAAUAGCAUAAUAUCCCUCAAAUUAUUGUAAGGAAGAAUUUAAGACUGACCUCCACAAGUGAAGGGUACAGAGAACACAGCAUAAUGUCAGAAAGAGCAUCCACGUUUCCUCAACUGAAUCAGUUUAUCAAUGGUGGUGGUACAGUACCCAAGAAUGAUUUAUAGUUUAACUACGUGAUGUGUGUGUGUGUGUGUGUGUGUGUGUGUGUGUGUGUGCGCGCGCGCGCGCACGCAUGCAUGCCAGGGAAAGAGGCAGGAUGAAUGAGUCUUAGGUAAUACGCUGGCUACUCAAAGAUCUGACAUUACAUUCUCAUCUGGUUUACUCUAAUGAUUGUGGAGAUAUACAUAUAUAUCAUGAAGGCAAUCUGUGAAUGUGAUCCUGCUUCAAGCUAGUACAGCCACACAGACACUAGCUGGUUGAUUGUCCCUUUGCUGUGACAUAGUUCACGUAAUCUGAGAAUAUUACUCUGUAGGCAAUGUAUUCUUUCCCAUUCUAACUUUGUAAGCAUUCUAAAUACAGAUUGACAAGAGAUCUCUAGUUAAUGUAGACUUUGCUUUUCAUCUGUGACAGACUGAUCUGCCUGUUAGAACCACUAGAAGCUGGACAAAACAUUAACAAAACUAUCAAAGAACUUCCAAAAUAAUGUGCAUUUUAGAGGACAAGGAUGUAGAGAGGACAGCUAAAGCAAGAUAUUCUUUUCUAAUUUUGCAAACAUUCAUGAUAAAAAUUAUAGAAAGAGUUCUAGUUUAUCAUCCAUAUGUUAAAUGAUGGAAUAAUGGGUAUUUAUGUGGCUACUUUUACUUUCACCUGAAUUUUUCAUUUUUUUCAUAGGAUGAUUUCAAUUCUAUAGUCAUUUUAAGUUGUGAUAUCUUUAGCUUAUUCUGAAUUUUAUAGACAAACAGAUAUUAGAAUUCUCCACAUGAAUUGUUGUAAAUGCUAUAAUCAAAUAAAAGUAGGAAAUACAAAUAGUUACUAGUCACAAUUUAGGAAAUAGUUUUGCAAGAUUCUUAAAAGCCUAGAUUCAAGUCAGACACAAAUUUGAAUUCUGGCUGAUCAUCCAUCCACUAGUUAUUUUACUUCAGGUGAGUUAGUUAUGUAGGUUUUAUGAUGUUUACACGACUUUGUAUGUAUAAAAUGUGCAGACCAGUAACUGGCACACAGUAGUGCUCAAUUAUUACUAAAGAAGAAUUUGAUGGGGUUGGGGUUGUGGCUCAGAGGAAGAGUGCUCACCUAGCAUGCGUGAGACACUGGGUUGGGUCCUCAGCAUCACAUAAAAAUAAAAUGAAGGUAUUGUGUUCACCUACAACUAAAAAAUAAAUGUUUAAAAAAAGAAGAAUUUGAACUUCACUAAUAAAUAAAGUUGAAUAAAAAUAACUGUGAUGUACAUUAUUUCUUUAGAUAAAUUAGCAAAUAUUUAUUUUUUAGUUAUGAUGCUAGCAAUGGUGUGAUACAUAGCUUUACAUAUUAGAUGCAUGGUUCUUCCAAAAAGCAACAUAAGAAAUUAAAAAAAAAAGUUUCUUUGACUCAAUAAUUAUACCUGCAGUAAACUAUUCCAAAAGACUAAAAUGCAUUACAGUUCAAAAUUUAUAGGAAAGCAUGUUCUCAACAUGAUUCAUAUUAGAGAAAAUUGGAUCUGGAGUAAAUGUCUAAUAAGAGAAUAAUGUUAAAUAAAAUGUUGGCAUAACAGUAAAAUGAGAUAGUAUGAAAAUAUUACAAUGACAUUUGUGAAGGUGAUUUUCAUGUAAUAGAAAAAGUUUUAUUAAAUUAUCCAGGUGAGGUAUUACCUGCCUAUAAUCCCACAACUCAGGAAGGCUGAGACAGGAUAGAAAAUGGUGGCCAGCCUAAGAAACUUAGCAAGAUACUAAGCAAGUUAGCAAGAUUCUGUCACAAAAUAAAAAUAAGAAGGUCUGGGAAUGUGGCUCAGUAAUAAAACAACCCUGCGUUCAAUCCCCAGUACCAAAAUAAAUAAAUAAAUAAAGUUUAUUAAAUUAUACUCUUAGCCCAUGUGGACAGGGUAGUGUACAUAUGUAUUCCAAGCUAAGCCUGUCAGAGCAAAAUCCUUAUUCAUACUGAUUGUUUUAAGGAUGAACAGCUGAUCUAAGUAGGCCCAGUUGGAGCAUAUCUCAAGACUUUUCCAAGAAGAGUUGGAACACAGAUUUUCUUUUGUAAGAGCUUUGGAAAAGAAACUCCUUGAAUACUGUGGUAAAAGAGUGUGAAGUCUGGAACUCAUACUAAUGGGUUUGGUUCUAUACCAUGAUGGGAGCUAACACCAGGAAAAAGCAAUUAAAGGAAGCAAAUGUGAGAGAAAUGCAGGUAAAUGGAACCAGAACCCAGAUGAACCUCUGGUUUUUGCUUAAAUUCAUUUCUGCCUCAGGACAUUUUAGUUCCGCAGCUAGUAAUUUCCUGGAUUUGUUUCAGCCAGUUUGAGUUAGGUUUACUGACCCUUGAAACAUAAUAAAUUCUAAAUGAUAUACUAUGUAUAAUAUGCUAUAACACUAAGUGAAGAAAAAUGUGAUUUAAAGUUCUAAUAGGCAAUGUGUUCCCAAUUAUGAAAAAUGCAUAUUCACUGAAAAUAUGUAAAAAAAUCUCUACUUGAUGACCAAAUAUUUUUUAUCUUGUGAAUUUUCCAAAUAUUUACAACAGACAUGUAUAACUUUCAUUACUAAAAUACAAUCUUAUUUUUUCAAGUCAUAUCUUGAGAGACCAAUUAGGCAAGUCAUUUUAAUAAAGUCACUAGUAUAUAUUCUCAGUAUAUGGAAAUUAAAUCCUCCUCUUUUGAAAUUUCAUUAAAUUGCUCUAUUAUUCCUAGACACCUUGGUGAAUACUCAUUUCAGUGAUUUAAUCUGGGCUAUUUUUCAUACAUUCCAGGAAAACUGCAAACACCCUCUGUUUACCUUCUGUAGAAUAAGACUGAUAAAAAAAAUCUAUGCAUUAUAAAGUGCUCUUCAAUUCCUGCAAAUUUCUGAAGAAUAGGUGGAUGUAGCUAUGUCCCCUUAAGAAAGAAACUUGUUUUCUGGCCCUGAUUCCAAAUGGGAUUGUCUCUUGCCCAGGAUAACUCAAUUUUACAACAUUAAUUUUAAUCGAAAAUUUCAUGAGGGCUUAAUGAUUAAUUAAUAAUUAUUCAAUAAUAGUGAUAAUGUCACUAUUACCAACUCUACCUUCAGAAACAUUUUAUUUGCCCUAUAAAAUGCAAUAGGUUGAAUUCUUAAUGCAUUGGUAGCAUACUAUAAAUAUUGUUCUAAAAGUGAGCAUGAACAACAAUUCUUUAAGAUUAAACUAUAAUCAAGUGUGUUACCACAAUAUCAAACCCUAGUACCAUAAGCACACACUAUUUACCCAGCACUUUCUGUGGUGUUAGCAGUUCCAUUCCUAUUGGCAUAGAAGACACUAGAUAAUUGUUCUCUCAUAAAAGCAAUGAGUUGAAAAGUAAAAUGGUAUAUUGUCUAACUACUUACUAUAAGAGGAUGUUAACUUUCAAUUAGAUUUGAAAAUUAUAUGCUACAGAAAUUAUAUUUAAAAUAUUUUUCUUACAUUUGCAGCAAUAUAAUGGGUACAUAGAUAACCAAAUUUCCUCUUAUCACAAAUAUGUUUAAAAUGAUUCUGGAAGCUAAACUUUCUUUGUUUUUUUGAAGUAAUUUUUUCUGUUGAUAAAGGUAUCUAUCAGACAGAAUAUUUUAUUUGAUUAAAACUUGAUUGGUAUAUGUAUUUCCAUGGUAUUUGUGAGACAGAGAUGCCCAUCUUAUUUUUUAUUCUUUAAACUUUUUUUAUUAGACUUUUAUAGUUACACAUAGUAGUUGAGUUCAUCCUGACAAACUCAUACAUGCAUGGAAUUAGAUUUCAGUUCAUGGUGCCCUUUCCCUCCCAUUCCUUUCCAUCCCUAUUCUCCUUCCUUUAUUAUCACUCAUAUACUUAUAUUUAAUUGGUUCUUUUUACUUAUACAUAUAGCAAAAUUCCCUGUGGUAAUUUAUUUGUAUAAAUUUAUACAUGCAUGUAUUUAUAUAUGCACAUAACUUGAUUUUUAAAAGAAUUCCUUCCAGAGAUGCCCAUUUUAAAUUGUGCACUCAGUCACAGUUGGGCUUGUUGGCCUGUGUGUUUCAGCAAGCAAGUUCCAUGGGUCCCUUCUCUAAAUCUAUGUACAGUUCUGAACCAAAGGUUAAUAGUUUUAGUAGUUUUUCAAUGUGUAUAUUAAAAAAUGAAAUCAUGGCCAAUCUGCUAUUAAAAACUGAUAUUCUUUAAAUAUUUUUCACAUAGAGAAACUAAAUUUAAAAUUUGAAAAAAACAAAAGAAAAAUAAUGUCACCUUUUCCAAUAAUAGUAAUAAUAGUUUAAUUCGAUUUUUGUCUGUUUAUGUUAAGAAUUGUUUUUUACAUCUACAUAUUUUUCCUUAUCUAUUAAGAGAGAAGUUGAUUAUGGAUAACAAUGUGCCAUAUAGUUCAAAAAAACUAGAAGAAAGGAUUUUUCACCAUAAAGAAAUGAUAAAAACUUUAGGAGAUAAGAUACUUUUCAUCUGAUUUAAAUAUUACACAGUAUGGGCUGGGGUUGUAGCUCAGUGCUUGCCUAGGAUGGGUGGGGCCCUGGGUUUGAUCCUCAGCACCAUAUAAAAGCAAAUAACAACAAACAAAUAAAAUAAAAGUUAAAUUAUUUUUUAAAAUAUUACACAGUGCAUACAUGGAUCAAAACAUUAUAUGGCACUCGGUUGAUAUGUAUAAUUUUUUUAUCUAUCAGUUAAAAAACAAGAAAAAAAAAUUAGUCUAAAGAAAGAUGCUUAAUUAAUUAGCAUCUUUGGAAAGUGUAUUUCCAAAGGGCACCAAAAAGAAACCCAAAGCAGCCUGCUGAAGUAGUCCAGCCAUUGAGUCUGCAAUGAGUGAGUGAAGAGUGAUUUAAGUCCCCUCUCUCAGUGCAAGAUAAGAAGAUGGAAAAUAUGAAUGGUCUGGCAGUAUACUGCUCAGGCACACAUCGAAGGGGGUCCUCAGCCUUCUCAAGUCAGGUUCAAGCUCCCAAACACGGAAACCACAGAAAGUUAAUGAUAAUUGAGAUCAUAUGUUUCUUAUCAAAGCUUCCUCAAGAAAAGCAGCUUAAGGGAAAAUUCAUAAAUAUGUGUUUUGACCACAGUCUACCAAUCCCCUUCCGCAUAGGAGACUUCAGCUAAUUUGUUGACUUAAUUACUCAAGGCACAGGAAGGUUAAACAGAGUGAUAAUCUGAUUUUCUCUGAUUGCUGAUCUCUGCAGAAAGUGGCCAGUAGGAUGCAAAAAUAAAGCUAGAACCUCAGGCUAUUUUAAAUGGAGAGGUGAGGCAAUUAUCCAGAUCGUUCAGGCAAAGUUGACUGUUUACAGUAAUCAAAUUAUCUGCAUAAGUACUCAACCUACACUCUGAGUACCGGAACAGCAGCUUUAAACAUAUCAUCUGGCCUAAUUAAAUUAAUUAUUCCUUAUAUUUGUAUUUAGUGUGAACUAUUUGCACUUAAUAGUCAAAUUCAUAAGGAAAGACCUAUUAUAAUAUCCUAUAAAAGUAUCCUUCCAAAAUGAUAGGGAUGACUAAUAACAUUUUGUCUAAAUAAAGAAUGAGUGCUUAUUUUUAAAUAAUUGGAAAGCAUGAGACCACAGAAAGAAAGUAAUAUAUAGGGAAAAAAAGAUGGACUGCAACUGCAUUUAAUAUGAAUGUCUGUAUGAAAAGUGAGGUUAGAAGAUUUGAAGCUUUUAUCCUAAGCUGGCUCAAUUUAAAAUCUGUUUUGAUGAUUUCUGAUUGUCACAAGUUAUUCCCCAUCUUGAAAUAGAAGUAGGAAAAUCGAUUAAUCCAUUUUUCUUGCUUAGGAAAGUAAUACUUCCUCAUUUUAGAAAAUACAGAUUUAAGAAAACUAAAGUCAUAAUUCAGAGAAGACUACUCUGUCACUGUAUGUGUUUUCUGGACUUUCAUAUCAUACAUGGUGCUAGAAAUAAACUUUAAAAUCCAAAAAGGUGUGAGUUUUCAAGUAUUCAAAUCAAAAAGCUGAAAUUAUAUUGUACACAUUGUUUUGAAGCUUGACUUUUUCGUGAGACUGUAUCUUGGGAAUCUUAUUUUGUCAAUCAGUGUGUAGAUGUGGUAACAUUUUUUAACUCAUUUAAAUGAACAUUACAUAAAGAUAAAGUCUAUUUUUAGACCAUGAAGUUACAUCCAGAUUUAUUAUAAAUAGCUCAGUGUUAGAUAUUCUUAAAUAUUCAUUUUUAUAUACUUGCUUGAGACCCUGGGUUCGAUCCCCAGCACCACAUAAAAAUAAGUAAAAUAAAGGUAUUGUGUGCAACUACAACUAAAAAAUAAAGUAUUUAAAAAAAAUUCUGGGGCUGGGGAUGUGGCUCAAUCGGUAGUGUGCUCGCCUGGCAUGCGUGCGGCCUGGGUUCAAUUCUCAGCACCACAUACAAACAAAGAUGUUGUGUCCUCCAAAAACCAAAAAAUAAAUAUUAAAACACUCUCUCUCUCUCUCUCUCUCUCUCUCUCUCUCUCACUUUAAAAAAAAAUUCUGGUUGAUGUUUCUUUAAAAAAAUCCUCUUGUUUUUACCAUUUGAUAUAUAAAAAGUCAAAUAUUUGCUCUUUGCAUUUUUAAAAAAUAAAUCUUUCCAUAAAUUAUUUUUAAUUUCUAUUUCUUAUCAAGUAAAUCACCUAUUCAGGUAGUUGCAUUUUUUUUUUUAACUUUUGGAGUAUUUUUUCAUGUUCCUUUAAUCAUAGUAAAAAUAUCAAAACUUUGUCUAUGGCUAUUUUGCCAAUAAUUUUCUGUUUCUCAUUUUCUUAAUAAUAUUUUAAUUAUAUUUUUGUUCAAUUUAAGCCCCUCAAAUAUAUGAAAUCAAAUUUAUCAAUUUGUUUCUCUGUUGUUCUUCCCUUGCUUGGUCUGUGCUUAUAGAGUCUUUCAUUUCUGGAAUCAGUUAUAUACAUGGCUCUGUUUUAUUCCAGUCCAAUAUUAUUAUUAUUUUAAAAUUUAAAUCUUGCAUGUAUGAGGUCCUUGAUUCAAUUCCCAGCACCACAAACAAAUAAUAAAUAAAUAAAUUUUUAAUGCAUUUGGAAGAAAGAUCAAUCACCAAGAAAAUACCAUUAUACUUAUGGUAUUUUUAUUAUAUCAGUUGUGCUUUUCCUAUCCUGGUUCUUCAAAAGUUGAUGAUUUGGUACAUUAAGAGUGUUUCCCCAUGGUACAUAGGCCUACCUAAAAUAACAUUGAAACUGCUUUGAGGAAUUCAGGAGUGUUUUGCUCAAAGGAUGAAAUUCAGAGCACCUAUAAUAAAGAUAAGGCCAUAAAUGAGUUCAUAGAAAGAAAAAAAAAGUGCAAACAAUUAAGAAUUAGCAAGACACAGUCAUGUAUGCCCUGGUCCAGCUAAUUGGAAAGCUGAGGAAAGAGGAUCACUUGAGCCCAGUUUGGGACAAGCCUAGAUAACAUGGUAAGACCUCAUGUUAAAAAAAAAAUAGAAGCAGCAUUCUUAGAUUAAUAUGGCAUUUUAUAAGAUACAUAGAACAAAGCAUUCUAACUUAUGAGAUAAAACAAUUUCAACCUAGAUUCCUUACCUGGCCAAACUAGCAUUUGAGUGUGAGCACAGAAUGAAAUAUUUGUUUAAAUCUUGCAUGUAUGUGUAUGAACAAAUAUUACAUAAAAAGGAACUAAGUAAUUUUGCAUUUCAGAGAAAUUUUCUUGAGAAGGUAACUUGAAAUGUUUUGGCAGACUGAAUGCAUAAAGUAUAAUAUAUUUAAUCCAAGAGGCAAAGUUUUUAACUGUGAAGAGCAGUUGAUGGGACUGUCCAGGAAGAUGGCAACAAUGUGAGGUCAGCAUUUCAGGUGAGGCAGGUGAAGGGAGAUCUGAAGGAAUGCAAUGUAAGUAAAAGGACUUAUCAACUGAAUUACAGAAAAAUGGAAAAAACAGUAUAUGACAAAGGCAAAUACUGCAAGAAGUUAAAUGAAGGAGACUAUAAACUAUCCAAAACUUGUUUCAAACAAGAAGCAAACUCCAAAGAAGCAUCAUUUCAAGCAUUUGAUGAGAUGAGAUAUAAAAAGAAAAGUUCAUUUAACACUAAGGCUAGGAAUAGUCUCUUUGAUUUGCCCAACAGUUGUGGCAAUGAAACAUAACAUAUGAAAAUAAAAUUAUCAUUGGGCCCAAUAUAUCAUAUUAUUUACAUAGUCUUACUAACAUAAAUCCUCUGAUUUCCAACUUUUAAAGCUUACUUAAAGACUCUAUAGAGUUGUCAGGAUGAACUAAGUUGUAAACCAUUUUGAUAACUUACAAAUAAAACUAGUUGACCAAAAAGGGAAUAAAGAGAGAAAAGAUAGAGAAAAUGGUAGGGAUGCUAAUAUCCUAAUUUUACAGAUAACAGAAGAUAUUCUGAAAAAUUAAUAGAAUAUAAAUCAGAGAUAUACAUAUAAUAAAGGUUAUAAAAAAAGCCAAACGUCAUGGCACAUGUCUGUAAUCUCAGUGGCUCAGGAAUCUGAAGCAGGAGGAUCUCGAGUUCAAAGCCAGCCUCAGCAACUUAGUGAAGCCCUAAGCAACUCAUGGAUAUCUUGUCUCAAAAUAAAAUAUAAAAAGGGCUGGGGAUGUGGCUCAGUGGUUAAGCACCUGGGUUUACUCCCAGUACUUAAAAAAAAAAGUUAUAAAGAUAACCAAUAAAGAAGCUCACAAUAAAACAAGUAUAAGACAUUAAUAUGACUGCAUAGAUAGGGAAUGGAUACAGUAGGUGAAAAAAUAUUCAUCUUCCAUGUCAGAAUAUUGUCUAAAUUAGUUAAAACAGGAAAUAGAAGUUCAAGUAUAUAUAUAUAUAUAUAUAUAUAUAUAUAUAUAUAUAUGAAAGUAACAAUUAUAGAAUUAAAAACUAAAAUAGAUUGCAUGCUGUGGGCAAAGGGAGUGACUACUGCUUUUCAUUAUAAACUUUCUAUAGAAUUCAAUCCAUCUGCAGUUCUUCAAUAAAACUAAAAAUAAGGAAAGAAAAAGUGUCUCAGAAAAUUAUUGUAGUUAUAAAAAAUAUAUCAUUAAAUAUGCAAAAACCUUUUUGCAUGUAAGAUAGCAGACUGGUUAUCUAAAUAAAGUGAAGGAUGACUGAACCUUAAUUGAGGAGUUGAACAGACGGGUGGCUGCAUUCUCUCAUUUCUCUCAUCAGUGGCUGAGAGUUAAUCGGAAUUUUAGCUAAGAAUUUGGUUGCUAGAAGUAGAACUAUUUCCCAGCCUCCUUUAGAGCCCCGUGAUUAAGUAAGUAGGUCUGGGUGGUGGCUUGUGAGUGGGGCUGAUGUGUGCACUAGUGGGCGUGUGCUCCCACUUCCCCUAUUCUCCCUUUCAGCUCCCUGGAAAAUGAACCUGUAAUCAAACUACAGGAAAAGCAAGAUUCAAAAGACAAAGUGUCUUACUCUAAGUCACCAGCAAUGAGUAAAGCAGAACUGAAAGGAAAACACAGGUAGUCUGACAAAAAUUCUCCACUAAGUACAACAUUCAGAAUAUUAUGUUGUGUUCUUUACUCCCUCGGUAAUUUAACAUUCUAAAACACUAAUUUGCUAAAAGUAAAUUGGUGAGUUAAAAACAUUAACUAAAAAUGUUCCUUUAUCACUAGACCGUGGUUUAUAGACUGAAGCACUCAAGACUAUUUUAAAACUAUUUAAAUUAUGAUAAAGUCUUUAAAAACACUUUAUAAAAUCAAAUUAACUUUCUAGAUUCAGGUAAAAAAUUUCUAUUCUAAGUAUGGUUAUACUUACGUUAAAUUUACAUACGCAUGCAAAGCAAUCUUGAAAGAACAACAAAAAAGACUCACAUUUUCCAAUUCCAGAGAUUUCUACAAACUUAUAGUAAUCAAGACUGUAUGGUACUGGCAAAAGAAUAACCAUAUAAAUCAAUGGAAUGGAAUCUAGAGCCCAGAAAUAAACCUGUACAGAGUAAAAUAAUUUUUGAUAAGGGUGCCAGGACCAUUUAAUGGGAAAGGAAUGGUGUUAUUAACAACAGGUGCUAGGACACCCAAAUAUCCUCAUGCAAAAUGAUUAAGUUGGAUUCUUUAUUUUUUUAAUAUUGAUUUUUUAGUUAUAGAUGGACACAGUGUCUUUAUUUUACUUUAUGUGGUGCUCAGAAUCGAACCCAGUGACUCAUUCAUGCUAGGCAAGCACUCUACCUCUGAGAGACAACCCCAGCCCUUAAUUUGGAUUCUUAACCUCAAACCGUACUUAAAAAUUAAUUUAAAAUGGAAUAAAGACCUAGGUGGAAGAGCUAAAACUAUUAAAGUCUUGGAAGAAAACACAGGGGUAAAUUUUUUUUGCAGUUUAGGAUUAGAUAAUUCUUUAUUAGAUGAAUCACAAAAAGAAUAUGCAACAACAAUAAAAAUAGAUAAAUCGGGCAAUAACAUAUCAAGAAAGAGAAAAGACAGCCAAGAGAAUGGGGAAAAUAUUUGCAAACCAUAUAUGUGCUAAUGACUACCAUUUGAAAUCUAUAAAGAAACUCUUAAAAUUCAAUGAUGAAAAGAAAAUCACCCAAUUUAAAGAUGAGCAAAGAACUUGAAUUGAUAGGUUUUCAAUGGCCAUUAAACACACGAAAAGAUGCUCAACAUAAUUUUUCUAAGAAAAAUGCAAAUCAAAACUGAGAUGUUACUUCACACUCACUAGGAUGGCUAUAAUAAAAAAGAAUAACAAAUGUUGGUGAUGAUAUGUAGAGAAUUUGGAACCCUCAGAUUACUGAUAGGAAUGUAAAAUGGUGUAGCCACUUUGGAAAAUCAUAUUAGUGUUUCCUCAAAAAGUUAAACAUGGGAUGACCAUAUAACCCAGCAAUUUCACCUCGAGGUAUAUUCCCCAAAGUGCUGAAAAUAUAUGCUCACACAAAAAUAUUGUAUAUUAAUGUUUAUGGUAGAAGUUUUCAAAAUAGCAGAAUGUAAAAACAAUCCAACAAGUGUUAAGUGGAAACACAUAAUGCAGUGUAUUCAUACAAUGAAUGUUAUUUAGUCAUUAAGAAGAAUGCAGUUCAGAAAAUGCUACAAUAUGGAUAAAACCUAAAAACAUUGAAAGUGAAACAAGUCAAUCACAAAAGGCCCAUGUAUUGUUUGAUUUUAUUUAAAUGAAAUGUUCAGAAUAGGCAAAUUCUUAGAGGCAGAAAGAGGAAAAGAAUUUAUCGAAUUGGUGAUAGGGGACAGCAGUGAAUGGGAGUGACUGCUAAAAUGUAUAUGGGGUUUCAUAGGGUGAUGACAGUGUCAUAGAAUUAGUGGUAAUGACUACCCAACUUUGUGAAUGCACUAAAAAUGACUGAAUUAUAACUUUGAAAGGUGUAUUUUAUGGUACUUGAAUUAUGUCUAAUAAACAUAUACUAAACAUACACAUAUCAGGAAAGAGUUGUCAUUUAUUACUUUGGUGGUCAUUUUAUUUUUCCAACCAUCACAAAGAAGUAUUUAGAGAGGAUUCCAGUAAAUCAAACAUUUACAGUUAACUAUAUUGCAUUUGUUCAUCUUCAUCAGUAUUUUUUCCUGGUUGUCCUUCACCUGCUCUUGUUCUUUUCUCUUUUUUUUCUUUUCAUUCUAAACUUGAAUGCAAUUUGAGAAUUAAAGGCUUAUGUUAGCUUUAACUUCCAGGGGUGUAGACCUGCUGGCACCAUUAGCAAAACGGGAGUAUUCUAACACUCAAGGAAGAUGCUCUUACUUCCCAGGUCCACAAAACGUCAAAGGCAAGCCCUAUUAUUAGAGCUAGUGAGACCAGAUUCAACGUAAGAUUAAUCACCCAAGCACAGGCAAAAAUUUAGCCUCAACUGCACCUACUGUGUGGGUCAGAGAGCUUUUUCAGAACUGGUUAAAGGUUCAAACCUGUAAUUUUCCCCUUUUACAAUAAACUUUCUUCUAAUGUGCAGUAAAAAGAAGAAGUUGUUUGGAUGACAAUUUCUGUUGUAAGUAAGGUGAUUGCCAAAAUAUAAGGCCAGGGAAAUAGCAAGAAAACUUGAUGUUGUUCUUCAUCAGUACAUCAUUUUUUGAAUUCCUCAACUAGGAUAACAAAGGACAACUCUAAAUGUUAGUUUUAUCCUUUAGAUCUUUGUCCUGUUACAACUCUUCUUCUCUCUGUUAUCCUCUCUUUUUGUAUACACAUAUCCAUUCUUUCUUUCUCUCUCUCUCUCUCUCUCUCUCUCUCUCUCUCUCUCUCUCUCUCUCACACACACACACACACACACACACACACAAACAAACACACUGAGCGAGGGAGAGAGAAACUGUGGUAUUGCAAGGCAAGGUUUUGGUUUAAAAAUAUCUUGCCUUUCCUCAAGUCUUUAAAAAUAUCUGUGAUCAACUAAGCAACCAAUUACUGUACAUCCCAAAUGCAUGUUUUCACAGCUAUUUUUAGGGGCAAAAUUCAGUCACUACACAUCCUGUCCACUCAAAACAACAGACAUCCAGAGAGAGCAGCUAAUGAGUAGGUAGCCAAAUGACAAUGUCUCUUCACUUUAGACUUUGCUUCCAAGGCCCAAGUGGCUGCCUGACCGUCUCCACUCUGGCGUCAAAGAGUCCCCCUGCAGUAUGCAGACAAUUUAAAUUAUUACAAGGCAAUGUUACAAGUAUGAACCCUGGCACAAAAUAAUUACAUUCAAUUAGCAGUCCCCAAAGUGAUGGUCCAAUACUGAGGGCUUUAGAUGUUGUCUUUUGUUGACUUAUAGAAGCCAGGUAAUGAGUGAAACUUCAAAGUGUAAGGGCCUCAAUUACUGCUUAAUUAGUGGAAACUAGAUCAGAAAACACAGCCAAAGAGAAUCACACCCACAAUUUUCUUCUGUAGGAAUUCAGAAAAUAUGCUCCAUUUCCCAAAUAACAAAUUGAAUAACUCAAAACAAAAAUGUUCUGAAGAAACACUCACUAGAAUGAUGUAGUUAUGUUUUCGUUAGAGGUGUUUUAGGGGAGAAAUAUAUUUAAUCCAGUGCCUUAUCUAUACUCCUAGUGAUUUAUCUUCUUUUAACAAAACUCAACUUUUAUUGUUUUAAAAUAUAACAGAUAAAUAACUACUGAUUCUCCCAAUAAUUUGCUUCUCUGGGGAAUAAUCCUGGUCUCAAAUAUAACCAUAAAGAUUUUGAUCAGUGAAGAAUUACAGGGAGGAUUUAGCCCUGAGGAUUUGCAAAAGCAUUGUGUUUUAUGAUACAUAUUUAUAUUAUAGAUUAAAUUAUAGAUAAAUAUAAAUACAUUUAUAUUCUAGAUGUAAAUUAUUGUGUUUACUGGGGAAUGUAGCAUUGCCUCUUUGUAGAAUAAAAAUGGUUGUUUGAUAAACAGAUUGAGGCAAACAGUUCAAUUGGUAUUCAUUUUUUCUCUCAAAAUACAUUUCAGGUGUAAAAAAUAAAAAAUUUAAAAAAAACCUAAGAAUUAACUGCUUUAAAAAUUGCACCAAUCUAGACCAUACAGGUAAAAAGAUGAAUUUUAUCCAUUAUAGCAUUAAAAUUUUAAAUUAUCUAUGACAAAAAUUAAUAAAAAUAAAAUGAUAAAUGGAAAAAUAAGAACAUACUAUUAAAUGUAACACAGAACACUAAGUUUUUAUUACAUAAGUAAUAACGACAAAUAAAUUAAACCAUAUAGAAGAUAAAAAGAAAAAAGUAUAUAAAUAGCAGAAAAAAGUUCAUAAAUACAUAAAAUUAAUCUCAUUUAUAUUUACAGAAAUAAAAAUAUCUUCCUAUUACUCUAAUUAAUCCUAUUACUUUACUCUCACCCUUGUGUCUAUGGAUUUUAUUCUUCAAAUUCAUGAGACCCAAUCCAAUACUCCAUGCUACAGACUGAGUAUUGAUGUCACUACCAUUUACUUUCCAAAAUGUCCCAGUUUAGGUGAUGAAUUAGACAGCCUUUCUAGGAGUGUGGAAAUGAAACAAAGAAUUGCAACAGCUAUUUCACCAGCAUAAAAAAACAGCAGUGCUCCUUCAGUAUAGGAUAAUGGUGGGGAAGAAAAGCAGGAAAAAGCAGAGAUGGAUAUUAUACUUGUAAUAAAUAAUUCACCAGUUUCUUAGAGUAUUUACAUUCUAAUUAGAUAAUGUAAGCAGUUUAAUCAGCAAUUCAUUCACUGCCUGCAGAGUUCAAACACUAUUCAGUGUUUCAUAUCUAAAGAUUUUGGAGGCAUAGAAUCAUAGUGCAAUUUAUUAAAUGGCCCAAGACAUUGCAAAAGAGCAUUUUAUGAUGAGAAUAUUUGUGCAUGUUGAAAUGUUAUCAUGAGUACUUCAAUUAAUGCAUUAAUGUGAAUAUGAAGUAAAUAAACUUUUCAUAAUAUUAAAAAUGUAAAUAGUGGAAGGUUUACCUCCAACCCUUCCUUUUUUCCCCCAAGAAAGCAGAUUUCCUAAAAAUGGAGGGAUCCCAAGACCCACCCAGAGUGGCUAUUGUGUAGAGGUUUAUAUAGGUUUAUAUAGGUUUAAGGAAGUCAGCCCCUGGCCAGUCCUGGGUAAGGCAUUCAGUAUAUUCAUGCAGCCUUUAGUCCAGUCAAAAUAUCACUAAGGAAUUUUUCCUUCUUUGGAGAGUCAUGGACCCCAGUCACAUAGGUCCUGAUUUAAAAAAUGUCCUCUUUGUAAGUUUGUAUCUGCUCAGCCUUAUCUCUCCCUCCCAAUAUCAACUCUAGAUAAAAAGCAUGAACUGGAACCCUCUCAGGCACACUGGCUGAAUUCUACUUGUCUCAUCACCUGAAGAAAGAGAGAUGACCUCUUCUCUGCACUUCUAAUGUGCAGUAAAAAGAAGUUGUUUGGAUGACAAUUUCUGUUGUAAGGUGAUUGCCAAAAUAUCAGUCCAGGGAAAUAGCAAGAAAACUUGAUGUUGUUCUUCAUCAAUACAUCAUUUUUUGAAUUCCUCAACUGGGAUAACAAAUGACAACUCUAAAUUUUAGUUUUAUCCUUUAGAUCUUUGUUGUUACAACUCUUCUUCUUCUCUCUUUUAUCCUCUCUUUUUGUAUACACAUCUCUGUUCUCUCUCUCUCUCUCUCUCUCUCUCUCUCUCUCUCUCUCUCACACACACACACACACACACACACACUGAGCGAGGGAGAGAGAAACUGUGGUAUUGCAAGGCAAGGUUUUGGUUUCAUUGGCAAACCAAGAGAGAUUUUACCUGAAGAGAGAUUUUACCUUAAGAGAUUCAUUUCUCAGAAGCAAUAAGAGAAGUUCUUUUCUAGAUUCACUGGCCUGAAUUUGAGAAAUUUUGCCAAACCCUAUGACAAGGAAAAUACCAAAUGGAGAUUUUUUUGUUUGUUUUUUAGCCUCUCAUUCAUUGGAUGUAGUAAUGUAUUACUUUGAACCAAUAGUUUUGAAAGUGUAGUUGGGGGACAUCUGGGGAUCUCUGUGUAUGGCCCCCAAACUUUGUUUUUGGUACCAGGGAUUGAACCCAGGGGCCCUUAACCACUGAGUCACAUCCCCACUCCUUUUUAAAUUUUUUUAAAGAAUUUUGAGACAGGGUCUUGCUAAGUUGCUUAGGGCCUUGCUAAGUUGCUAAGGCUGGCUUUGAACUUGAGAUCCUUCUUCUUCAAGUCUCUCGAGCUUCUGAGGAUACAGGCAUGCACUAACUGUUGUCUCCCAUUUUUUUUUCAUGUUAUUUUUGUUAAUGGAAGCUGGAUUUAUGAUUGUUAUCUUGAAUAAUAAACAUUUUUUAAAAUUUUGAUUUAAUCACUAGAGUAGUAAAUAUCAAUAUAUAUGACCCAAAUAAAACAAUUAAAAUCUUCAAUAAUUCCAAGAUAAUUAAGAGGUACUGGGACAAAUAAGUUUAGAAACUCUGCCUUGGACCAAUCAUGUGAACUGUUCAGGCUUGAGCUUCCUCUUGGGUAGGUGGGCUAUGAGAAGGAACAAUAUGUAGCUACCUAAGGUCAAUACUGUAUAGGUCCAAGAGAGGAUGCAGGAUACAUGACCAAUACCCUACACCACAGGGGGACAGGGAAAGUUCAGGUCCAGCAGCUUAUCCACAUGCCCUUUCUUGUUAAAUAGUAUCAAGGGCAGGUGUCACAUCUGUAGCUUUUGAAAAUGGAUACGAUUGAAAGAACUUUAAAAACAAUAAUGCUGAUUGGAUUUGAAUCAUCAAAGAAAGAUUCAGUUAACUUUAGUCUUUCAUAGAUGAAAAAGGUAGCCACAGAGAAAUUAUAUAACUUGCCCAAGAUAACACAGUUUGUAGAUGGCAGAAUUAGGAUUUGACUUGACAUCUGGUUCCAAAGUAAAUACACUGUCAAUAUUUGAAACUUAGACUUCUUUUUGUGCUUAGUUUUGAUAUUUUUUGAUUCCUCCCAUGAUCUCUGAUUUCCUUUAGGAAUGGAAAUCAUUCUUCAAGUGUGUCAAAAUUUAUUGCUUUCAAAUUUGCGAAGCAGUUGACUGAAGACCACAGAGUAGAUAAAUUGUGUGAUGAAAACUGAAGCAUCGGUUAUUCCAUCUGUCAAAAAUAUCUCCUGAGUCCAGGCACAGGGCCCACUCCUGUAAUCCCAGUGGCUCUGGAGGCUGAAGCAGGAGGAUCAUGAAUUCAAAGCCAGCCUCAGUAAUUUAGCAAGGCCCUAAGCAACUUAGAGAGACCUUGUCUCUAAAUUAAAUACAGAAAAGGGCUGAGGAUGUGGUUCAGUGGUGGAGAGACCCUAGGUUCAAUCCCUGGGAACAACAACAACAAAACUCUCCUGAGUACCUCCCGUGACUCAUAUUCUGAUUGGGGUGAAAAAAGUAGAGUAGUGAACAAUCACAAAAAUAGAUCACAUCUCUGCUGUCCUGGCCAUUAUGUUCCAAACAAACAGAUGGGGGCAAGCACCCAAAGAAAAAUAAAAUAGGACAAGGAGACAUGAAAAUAAGAAAGUGGGGAGGGCUGUUUUAGACAGGUGUCAAGGGGAUCAGAAAGAAGGGAGAGAACCAGUCAUGUGGGUAGAUAUCUGGGGAGAACAUUUCAGUGCAGUAGAAAAUCUUCAGUAUGAAUGUGCUUGGAGAGUUCUGGAAGCAAUGAGGAGGAUGAUAUGGCUGUCGGAAUACCACAAUAAGGAUCAGGAAAAAAGAAUGAGAACAGAGGCUUCUGGAGACCAAGUCAUGUAUCACUUUGUAAGUCAUGAUAAGAGCUAUUUUAUUUCAUUAAGAUGGAAAUAGAGCAUGGAAUAAUUAUACAAAGACACCAUUCUGAUGACCACAAGGGAAAGAAGAAGCUACGAUGCAGCCAGGGUGGAAACAGGGAGGCCAGGAAUGGUAGUUAGUCUAUCACUAACUUGAUACAGGUCAAAAUCACACAGUUUAUCUGCCAACUGCUUUGCAAAUUUGAAAGCAAUGAAAUUUGACACACUAGAAGAAUGAUUUCCAUUCCUAAAGGAAAUCAGAGAUCAUGGGAUGAAUCAAAAAAUAUCAAAACUAAACUUCAAUUCUGGAUGAAUUUUUAGGGUGGAGCUGACCAGGAUCUUUGAAGACUUGAAUGUGAAGAGAAGUCAAGAAUGACUAGAAAUAUUAUGGGUACAGCAGCUAGAAGAAAAUAAGUCUCAUUUCCUAAUGUUGGAAAUACCAGAGGAGGAGCAGGUUUGAGGAAAAAGAUAAAAAACAAUGUUUUUUUAUUACAUCCUACGUGACAGAUAGUUUAAAAUAAUUUUCUUAUUUAAAGUCAGUUAAUAAGCAACUUUAAUUCUACCUGCAAUCUUAAUUUCGUUUUUUAUGAACUGUAACAAACAGAGCUACUGACCUCUUAAAGCUUACCAUCUUUUAGAGGAGGCAAUUAUUUAACCAAUAAUUGUGCUCGGGUGUAUUGGUGAAUUACAGAGCACCACAUAACUGUGUUCUCUGCUCUCCUGUAUUUUAGAGUUAUCUUCAUUGGCCUCAUUACAUUGAAAAGUAAAUAUAUGUGUAUAUUCCAAUUGUCCUCUAAAAACUAUGAACUCCUUGAUAGCAGGUUUCUUAUUUUUGUAACAUUAUCACCUAGCGUAGUACCAGGUCCAAUGAGUGCUUAAUCAUGUUUUUGAAUGACUAAUUAACUAUAAGUAGUCCUUAAGUAAGUAAUUUUGAGUCCCAAUUCUGUUAUUGUCAGUGAUUUAUUAUUUUUAAAGCAAAACUUUAAUCAUGUGGUUCUACUAAUCAGCCUUAAAAAUAAUGCAGUUCAUUUAUUCUAUCAUUCAAUAAAUAUUUUGUUCACUUAACAUAUACAAAAAUACUAAUUUAUGUGAGUCAGGAAAGGACAGAAAUAAAUUAGAAGUUGAACUUACAUUCAGGAUUUGGAGUCCAGUGAAAAGGUAAAAAAAAAAAAAAAUUAUGACAAAAAAUAUAGGUGACCAUGAAAGAACUUAAAGUGUGCCUUGUGUAUAUACGUGCAUAUGUGUGUGUGUGUGUGUGUGUGUGUGUGAGAGAGAGAGAGAGAGAGAGAGAGAGAAAGAGAGUGAGUUUGUGCAAUAAGUUCCACAUCCGUCUUUGGGAAGAAAUGGGAGAGUGAUUUAUUCAGGGUGGCCAGGCCUCCCUAUCAGUCCUUUCUAAAGAUCAUCAAGAUUUUCAUAUGAAUCACCAGCCCCUGGAACAAAACCUGGUGUUGCAAAGAUUUCUCAGGAAAAAGAAGACAAAAACUUGGUUCUCUGUGGGUAAGUGUUCAAAUCCACUGGGAUCCAGAACCUCUAAUGUGGAUGCUUCUGAGGAGGAUGAUUGCGUAGGUACCCAGAUUCCUGAGGUGAUACACCUGAACAAGGACAAGUCAUGACUAAGCUGCAGUGAAAGAAUGAAAUCACACUCAGGGUCACUCUCCUGAAAAGACUAGGCCCAUUUAGGCAAGUAUGCUAGAUUAAAUAGGGAGAGGAGGGCCCUAACUGUGUAAUAGUGGCCCUGUGUUCCAGGGGCAAAAAAAAGGAUGCCAGAAUUCUUCCCAAGCAGGAAUUUCAGAGACUCAGAGCAUUGAAGAGUUUAAGAAACUCUCAUUCAAUUUUCCUUAAAUAGAUCAGAGUCAACAUAAUACUGAAUUAUAAAGUGCUAGACUUACGUAUACAUUCCAAAUUUAAAAUACAUUCUUUCUAUAUUUUCUAAUUUAAAAAAUAAAGUGAACUCUGCUCAUCUGGUUGAUGUCCUGAGUUUGCUGGAAGUCUAAGCCUUUGCUCUCUUUCUGUGCAUAAAGGGUGAGCACUGACCCUUUCUGUUUCUAGAAAGGAAGACUGAGGACCACUUUUCUGUGCUCAAAUUUUUCUGAAUUAUCUUGUUGGUACACAGAUUAUCUUGUAUGCCCUCAAGAAUGUGAUUCUGGAUUUUCUGAUAAUCUUGACUUCUUCUAUGCUUCUAGAAUAUCAUUCUAAUUAAAUAUGAAAAAUACACAAUGUAAUCUUUUUCCUAACCUGAAAGUUGUGGAACAAUAAGUAUUUCCUGUAGUUAAAACAUAAGGGAAAAGUCCCAAGAAGCCUAUGAGGGAGUUUAGUAUAUUAUUAAGAGAAAUUAAGAAAACAGAGACAAUUACUUUAGGAAUCAUAAAGGAAUUUAUGGGGGUAUUUGCUUUGGGGCUUGAAGGGUAAUAGAAGUGCAGGGCUAAUUAGAUGUAGGGAACAAUUUCUAACUGCAGAAACCAAAGAGAGUUGUCCAAGGACGAAACCCCCUGCCCUGCUCCAAGGUUGACAUCUAGACUUCUGCCAAGUCUGAUGGAGGCACCAGGUCUCCUUUUCUUAAUCGGACAGUAAAGUUUUCUGAGUGCCACUGACGGUAACUAUAAAGCUGGAAGCCAUCAACUGGGGUGCCAGAGAGACUUGCUGAAAGCUGCCCACCAAGAUGAACAUAGUUAUGCUGAAAUACUCUUUGGGAGGGUGUGCACCACUCACACCAAAGAUAGGGGAGCUUCCUGUCAGUAGGGAGGCUGCCUGCUGAAGAGAAAGACAUCAUUGGCAGCUGAGCUUUUGGAGCAAGAUAUAUAGCACUUGAACAGGGAUGAGAUACCUCUUCCCCUCACAGAUGUCAAUCCCCUCCCCUUGCUUCUUUAUCAACAGGACAUUUUGUCUCCUGACAAAGAGAAACAUUUACAAGGGCCUACUCCAGCUCAAAAGAGGGUGGCUUUGGAUCUAAGAGGCAGCAAAUUGGUAACUGUUAUGAUGGCUGUGUAUAUGUAUACUUCUCCAAAUGAUUAAAAAAUCUCCCAUUUUUCACUUAUCUUCAGACUAUAAAGUAUCAGAAUAAAACUUGUCUAUGUUGAACUGAAAACCAGUUUUCCAGUUAUCAUCAAGGCAUUUAUAUCUAUAGAUUCUUUUGUUUCCUCAAUAGCACAUUUUUAGAUUUUUGCCAUAGGGCUUAGACAAUUAUACUUGAUUGGUGUGGGGCAAUGGAGUAGGAAAUAAACUUCUUUCAGUUAUAAUUAUAAUUAUACCCUGUCUGCCUAGACUAUACCCUAUAUAUUGCUCCUACCAACUUAAAUCUGCUGUAUACUUACCCACAUUCCCUACAUUAUUAAGCUACUGGGUCUCAAGAAAUAGUCUUUUUAACUGAAUUGUAUCCGAAUGAAGCUUAAGUGAUGAAAAACAGUUUGGGCGGUGGGAAAGACCUGAGUUCAAAUUCUACAUCUCUCAUUUAGGUUUUGUGUAAUUCUGAGUACAUUAUCUAAUUUUUUUGGAAGCACAGAUUUUCCAUCCAUAACAAGAAGAUUGUAAAAUCUGUGACAAUUUCUGUGAGGAUUAAAUGACUACCUAUUAAAUAUUUAGCCCGGCACAUAAUAGGUCCUCAAAAAAUGAUAGGCAUUAUUAAUGAAGGAAAUUUCAAAUUUAUUGAUUCCUAAAAUGAAUGAAAACAUGAUCGACUAUUUGGAUACAGUCUCCUAGCAGUCACCCCUAAAAUAAUAUUUCAGAAAAUGAAAUGGCAAAGAGCAAAGUGUUAACUGGCACAGUGACUCUGUGUGUGUGUGUGUAUGUAUGUAUGUAUAUAUAUAUAUAUAUAUAUAUAUACACACACAUACACACACACACACAACACCAAGGAGAAGACUGACUUCUUGAUGAAUGACUACUAAAACUAGAAAACUCACUCCACAAUGGUAAUAAAAACAAGGAAUUAAAAAAUGAACAAUCAGGUCCGGUUUGCAUUUCAUCAGACUGUGUUAUAGACCAAAUCUGUUUUACUGUCUCAUUUAUGUGACAGAUGGUGUGACAACUUCUUGAUCUGAUAAAUUGUUUUCAGUGAGUUAAUCACAGUGCAAUCAUCUUACUGUAUUCCUGCUCCCCUAAUGUGAAACAGAUUCAGCCCUAUUUCUGAUGCUUUCCUGUACGUGCAGUGCCAGUCGGCAGGCUGGGCUGAACCCUUGGACUGUUUGUCCAUGCCAGACUCUUGGAGACAACAGCAUGCUUAUGUCACAAGCCACAUCUGUCAUGGCAGGAUUUGUGUUUCUCCUCAGGUUAAUAAUAUCUGAUGGAGGCACCAGGUCUCCUUUUCUUAAAAGCAAGGAGUCUGAAUACUAGUUUAGGAAGAGGUGCUUCAAAGAUCAAAACAAGGCCUGUGACAGUGACAUGUGGGUUCACGAAUUGGGAAUGGCAGUGUCAAAUCUCUCCUAAACAAGGAAAUGGCCCUUGGUGAGCAGAAAGGGAACAUGGUGUAUCGCCAGCCUCCAUUAGAAAAAGGCAGGUUUUGUAAGGUAACUUCUUUCACUAAAAGCUUUUUUUAAAAAUGUAGUUCUGUAUAGAAUAUUAGAAAAAUAAAAAAGAAUAGUCAAGAUAUGAAUUUGUAAGUAGCUAUGCAAUUACAGAGACAAGAGCUCAAAUAUAUAGCAUUUUCUCAGCUUAAACUUUCAAAGGAGACUUUUUUGCUCUGGGUAGCCUGGAUAUUUAUAAUUUCUGAUUAGGAUAACUAGUAAGACAGGAAUUCAGAAAUAAAAUCAGGCUUAGUAAAUGAAGACUUAUAAUAGAUAUUCUUAUUUAAAACUUUAAUAAUUUUUUUGAUCUUUGGUAAUACAAUAUGAUGUAACAUUAGUACUUACAUGUGCCAUGCCAUCAUAAAUAUUAAUCUAAUUUAAUACUUAAGAACAAUAGUAGAACUUUUCACUAUUUAAUUAUUUAAUAAUAUAACACCAAAUAUUUAUUUAGUACCUACUAUACUUCUAAUGCACAAUCUCAUUUUAGUAUAACACUAACAGAUCAUUAUCACUAAGUCUAAUUAUCAACUUACAGGUUCUCAAAGAGGCUAAAUAAUUCACAAGACCAUGUAGCCGGUGCCUCAGAAUAUUUCCUUUAAUCUUGGCUGCCUCUCAACCAAUGGCUUCCAAGCCUUUGUUUUAGCCAGGUAUUAAAAGGAAGCUUUUGGAAAGUUCUUGCCUCUCUUAGGCUCAGUCCCCUAAUUUGUAUAAUCAUCCUCAUCUGUACCAUAAGGUGUUGCUGUGAAGUUAAGUACAUUAAAUAUAAAAUUUCGUAGAACAUAGACAUUGUUUCUUCUUUUUUGGGACUUUCAGUCUACUGACAGAAUAUAAUAACUUAAUUAUUCUUUUUCAUCAGGAUUUAAAUAAUGUAUAAUGUAUUUUUUGAAUUAUUUUAAUACAAUGUUCUGUUUUCCUCUAGUGCUUCUCUUUUUCAAAUAGUUCAAAUCCUAGCAGAUACAUGCAUAGAAAUAUAAAGGGUUACACCUAAAAAAAUCUCAGGGCUUAAUGGUAAAGAAUCAACUCCUUCUUAGAGAAGCUAUUUAUCCUACAUUAAACCAUUUGUCUAUCCAGCAAGUGCUUGUUCAGGUAAGAUCCCUGAUUUCUUCUCUUUUGUUUCUUACCAUCCAGGGAGGUUUCAUAAAAGGAAAAGGUGAAAUUAAAAACUAAUUGAAUAGACUCUCAGUGGUUAUGCAUCCAUAACAAAAUACAUGAGAAAUUCUAUCUCUUCUGAAAAACUUCAGUAGUGCUUAUAAGUUGAAACACUUUCUAAUCCAAUAGGUAAAUAGAAAACUAGCAUUACCAAUCAACCUACUUUAUAUACAAACAGAGAUAUGGAAAAAUUGUGGUAUAUAUGUGUAAUAAGAAUUGUAAUGCAAAAAAACAAAAAACAAAGUACACAUAUAAUGACAUGAAUUGUUAUAAACACACUUUAUAUACAAAGAUAUGAAAAAUUGUGCUCUAUACGUGUAAUAAGAAUUGUAAUGCAUUUCACUGUCGUGUAUUUUAAAAAAAUAAAAUCUAUUAAGUAAAAAAAAAAGUUUUUCCACCUAAAAGCAAAACAAAACAAACAAACAAACAAAAAAUCCUGGUUUUUAACCCACUUGCUGUUUUUUCUUCUAAAGUAUAAACUUUCUCAACUCGUGGUCUCAGCAAUCAUUUUCCUCUCUGUAUUGAAGAAUGGAGGGUACAGAUGAUAACUCAAUAACGAACACAUUAAGGAAGUCUUGAGCUAUUCCAAUGUUAGAGUCAUUUCCAUUGUGACUGGGAACAUUUUGUAAUUUUAUGUCUUCAUCAUGGCUGUACUUACAGAAAAUCUUGUCUGGUUUAGUAAAACUAAAAUGACAUAAUAUUUAUGAUAAUUUCAUGCCUGUCAUGUGAGCAUAUUUUAUUGAAAAAUCUGAUUAAAUUACCCAUAAUCUUUCUAAGUGAUAAUAUCUAUAGUUUAGAUUGCAGUUUGUAUAACAGUGAAAGUUGAAUUAAAAGUACAAUUAGUAAACUUUAUUGAUUUCUGCCACAACAAGGUCCACAAGAAAAUUAAUUCAACCUUCUCUUUUGCUAAACCCAAUUAAACUGUGUGAAAUAGUAUUGACAUCUAAUUUUCUCUCAUUAAAUAAUGAUCAUUACUUUUGAUUAUAUCUUAUUUUGCUUUUAGAAAGAAAAUGAAGUGGUAUGUAUAUGUAUUCUAUUUAAAGAUUGAAAAAAGGAAAAAAUGAACUUAUGAAGUAACAUGAGUAAUAAAGAACAAAAAGGAAUAAAACAUAAUGUAAAACUUUCAUUAUGGUUAAUACACAACCUCAUACCAUGAAGAACUGUGUAAGAACUAAAGAUAGUUCACAAACUAUCAUUGAGUUUUCUAGUGACUACAGUAAAAGGAACAUAGUAGCAUUCAUUUUUUUUUCAUUCAAGGGCAUGUAAUUAAUCUGCUAGUAUAGGCUAGAUGACUUUGAAAGUAUCAAAAUCUUAUAAAGAAAGGAGAAAAUUUCUGGGUGUUGUAGCACAUGCCUAUAAUCCCAGCAGCUUGGGAGGCUGAGGCAGGAGGAUCAUAAAUUCAAAGCAAGCCUCAGCAACUUAGUGAGGCCCUAAGGAACUGGAGAGUCCCUUUCUCAAAAUUAAAAAAAAAAAAAAAGGCUCACUGGUUAAGCUCCCCUGAGUUCACUCCCUGGUUAAAAAAAGGGGGUGGGGGACUAAAUUAUGUGCCCUAGUAUUCAAAUGCAAGAAGUUAUUCAAGAGAAGCACAUCUUUUCCUGACAUUAAGAGCUGAGUAAAAGUGCUCUUGUGGAUCUUCAUAAAACAAGUCUAAUUUGUUUCAAUGGUGAUGGCAAACAAUCACAAUGAACCAGUUAAGCAGUUGUUACAAUGAUAUGACAUACAGGAUACGGAGAGAACCUAGGAGAGGAACACUGGGUUCAGCCUGAAGAAAUGAGAAGUGUGGCCCAUUAACAUUUAGGUCGAUCUUGAAAAAUGGAAAAAUUGCCUAGCAAAAUCACCAGCAUUCCAAGCAAGGGACAAAAGCAAGUGCAAAUAUAUGUAGGCUGAGAAAGGAAGGAAUGUUCAGGAAUUCUACCUAGUUCAGCUUUGCAGUUAUAUAAAUUUUGUGCAACAGAUAAAAUGAGUAAGUAGGAAGUCAGAUCAUAAAGAGCCUGAACGUCAAGAAAGAAAAAAAAAAAAGAUUUACAGACUCUGGUACCAUUGAAGAAUGAUUGUUAAAUUGGCAAAUUAGGAAGAUAAAGAAAAAUACUGGAAAAGCCAUGGAAAGAUAACUGUCUAGAAGAAAGGAAAGCCAGGUUGAGAGGAAAUCACAUAGAACACUUGACCUGUGGCAGUUACAACAGAACGAGAGACAAAAGCAGAUCUGGGAAAUGUUCAGGAGCUCCAAUAGUCAUGUCGUGCUUGAUUGACAAGUCCAAGCUUAUACUGAUGAAAACAUGGAACAGUUUUAUCUUUCCCAAACUGAUUCUAAUUAUAGACUCCUUCUGUCUUGGGAAACAGAAUCUGUUUAUAGAAGCUCAGUAUAAUGUUAUAAUGUCAGAAUAUUUUAGUCACUUUUGAUUUUUAAAACAGUUCUUUCUUCUAUUAAAAAUUCUACUCCUUCAGCACAGACUAGACCUAUGGGGAGGGCAUACCUUCUGGUUCACCUCAUCCCUCUCCUCUCGUUUCCUCCCCCAAGACUGUAUGGAUCACUGGCAGAGUGUGGGGGAGUGGUGACAUUUGCUUUCUUGAGCAACACAAGUGGCUGUUGGCAGACAUGCUGUUCCCUUUCUCUUGACCACUGCCUCUCAGGGUAAAAAUGCCUGGAGAAGUCAAUGUCCAGUCACUUUUGGGGAUUAUUUGUUUAUCUGGAAUCUGAUAUAAGACUGUCCCUUGCAAUCUUCUGACUUAGGAGAGAUGGCUAUUCAUGAAGCAGUUCCUCCUUCCCCUGGGCUUCCUCUUCUUCCUAUUUUCCUACAAGAGAUCCAUUCACAUCUUUUCCUGAUGAAACCACUGAUUGUUCAUGGCCCUCAGUCAGGCGGUGGAGGAGAAACCAGAAAAAAAAAAUGCAUUAAGCCUCAGUCUCUAGUCUAAAGGAGGGAAAUUUAGAUGCAUGGGAACAAAGAGGGCCUCCUGGUAUUCCCUGCUUUUGCUGCUCCUUUCUCUCUGGAUCCUUUUAGUACACCCUGAUAACUCGUAUUUCACUGCCACUUUGAUGGUUCAGCAACUUUUGGGCAAGUGUCCUUCACCAGUUCAAACUUAAAGUGUGUGGAGAGGGAAGAUUUUAAACUUCUCAUCUCAUAUAAUAUAGACAGAAAGGAUGAAUGUUCUUCUUUAUAAGGAGAAAUAGGAAGUAAAUGGGGGGAUUACUUUUCUCCAAACUCUGCAUAUGCACUGUUUCUGUCUCCAAAACUUAUAUAUGUUGAAAUCCUAACCCCAGCAUGAUUAUAUGAGGAGAUGGUACCUUUGGAAGGCAAUCAGGUCUGAGGGUGGAGUCCUCACUAAUACUCUCAUAUGAAGGACUAUGGAGAGCUCUUCACAGUUCUUGCCUCCAGAGCUAAUAAAGAUCCAUGUCUCUAAAAAUAGCACUCAGCCCUUCUUCAUCUAGCUUCUUUUUUUCCUCUAGCUGAUGAAGACCAUCAAGGUAGUCUCUCUUGAGUCUAGAGGAAAACAAAAGUUCUCACCUAAAGAAAACAUGUGUCUUUGUUAUAAUGUCUUCUUCUACUGAUAACUUCCAGGAGCAGGAAAGGACUUUACUGUCUCACAUUGUUUGUUACAUGACUUUAGAAAAAAUUGAACGUAAAGAGCCAUUUAAGUUGUCUUCGGAUUUUGCUCUGAGGAAUAGGUGUGGUUGCAACAUACACAAGGAUAAAUGAUAUAAAAACCUGGGAUGGUUCUAGAUGGCAAUAGCUUCCACCUUAGAUGUGUUUUAGGUGCUGCUGGGGGAACUAGGUAGAGCUGUUCAGUGACUAGUUUGAUUUAGGUUUCUGUUUCUAUAGAGAGAAAUUGGAUUUUUAGCAAAUGGAUUUCAGAGUCAUUGGCUCAUCGGUAAAGCUAUAGAUACUAACUUCAAAAAUACAAGUUUCCUAAGCCAAAACAAAAACUAUUUCUCUCCCAAAUUUGAAAACUUUCAUAGAAUUAUAAAACUUUAUGAGGGAUGUUUUAGAUAUCAUCUAUUUGGUCCUGCUGAAUUUUUUUUUUUUUUGAAGUACAGGGUACUUACCAUGCUACUAUAGUUCAAUGUUAACAUGAAUUUUUAAUUCUCUGAAGAAACUCUGAAUAAUAUAAUUGUGCAUUUUACAAAUUGAUUUCCCCAUAGAGAUGUUCGUGUGGUAACAGAGAUUCUAUAAAGUUUGUAUUCUGCAAUCAAAGAAGUGAUUUUUAUCCUUUGAUCCUAGUAUCAUUUUUUAUGAUUUGGGAACUUGGCAAUUAAGACCAUAGAUUAUUUUCUUAGUAUCCAUCAAUAUGAUAAAUCUUAGCUACAUGAGUUCUUUAAAGGAAAUAAUAAAUCUAGUAUUUCUUAGUAAUCAUUUUAGGCUUUAUUUAUGUCCUGAAAUAAAAAGCCUUCAUUAAGCUUUCUUGAGAGUUCUUACAGAGUUAGAAAUAGUUUUAAAUGACAUUUUCAAGUUUUAUGUAACUCUUUACUGGGAAAGAGUCAUGGACUUUUUUUUUUAUUUUACUGCAUGAGAUUAAAUUACAACAUGUUUCAUUCUUGCUGAAUUAAAUUUUUUCCCCUAAUAUUUCUUUAAAAUUCCCCCAAGUAAUCAAUCUAACCAAAAUUUUAUAAGAAUCCUUCCCACAUUUAAAGGAUAUCAAAAUUUUCCCAAUUUUGCUAUUACUUCAAUUUAUAGGCCUAUUUAAAGCAAUUCUUCCAGUAAUAAAAUUAAAUUUCUAAACUACAUGAUUUUGGUUCAAAUUACACUUUUUAUAUUUGAUAUAUAACAUACAGGAAACUUACAAAGUGCUGAAUUUAAAAACAAACACUGUGAACAUAUCUACAAUCUAUUUUAAAUCAGAUAAGAUGGUUUCAUAUAAAUUAUUGAACUAUUUAUAGGUUUUAGAAAGGACUGAAUUAAAGCUACUGUUCUCAGUAUCAUUGUGAGCUGUGUAGCUAUUUCACUGGUAAGCAAACACUUUAGUUAGAGAAUGACUGAGUUCUUGGUAGAACUAUGGAGACACAGUUUACAUUUAUAAAGGUGACCUCAUAAUUAAGACUCUGGGACAAAUAAAGAGAUCACAAUACUUAUUCAGGAAUUUAAAAGUCAAUAGUUACCACAGGACAGGAGGUAUUCAUAAAGCACAGCCCCAUAACUUUAUGGGAGCCACUAUGUUAAGAAUGAGUAUAAGGUAGGUCAAAUUUGAGUAUAUUAUUCCACAUUUUUAAAUUUUGGUCAAAGCAUAAUAAGAGUUCAAUCCAUAUAACCUGUGUCUUAGUUACUCAGUAUUGCAUUUAGUGACAGGUUUUGAAAAGAAGUUAAAAUUCUACUGUAUUAUUUCAAAAAUAUUGAUUAUAGGGGCUGGGAUUGUGGCUCAGCCGUAGAACGCUCACCUAGCACGGGCGGGGCCUGGGUUCAAUCCUCAGCACCACAUAAAAAUAAAGGUACUGUGUAAAAAAAUAUAUAUUUUAUAUAGAUAUAAAAUUAUAUAUAUAAUUUUAUAUAUAUCAUUAUUAUAUAUAAACAUUAUUAUACUAUAAUUAAUUAUAUUAAUAAAAAUUAAUAUAAUUUUAAUUACUAUAAUUAAUUAUAAUUAUAUUAAUUUUAUAUUAUUAUAUAAAAUUUAUAAAAUAUAUAUUUUAUAAUAUUUUAUAUAUAUAUAAUAUUAUAAAAUAUACCCAAUGCAUAAAAGAAUUGUGCUAGGUGAGCAUCAGGUAAGCAUGUACAGAUGGUCUUUUAUGUGUACCCCCAUAGAUAGGGUCUCUUUUACAUUAAAAACAGACCAUGUUUCUUUUGCUAUUUCAUUUUCUUUUCAAAUGCCAAAACUUUCAUUAGAAUUUUUCUAGUUGCUACACUAUGUUAGCUUUCCAUUACUAUGACAAAAUACCUGAAGUAAUCAACUUAUGGGGAGGAAAGGUGUAUUUUGUUUCAUGGUUUAAGAGAUUUCUGUCAUGGUCACUUGGCUCAGUUGCUUGGGAUGGAGGCAGCACAAUAUAUCAUAGUGGGAGACAAGGCAGAGGAGGCCUGUUCAAUUCACAGUAGCCUGGAAAUAAAAAGAGACAGGAAGGGGCUAGGUCUUAAUAUUCCUUUCAAGGGCAUACUCUCAAUGCCCUAACUUCCUUCCACUAGGCCUCAACUCUUAAAGAUUCUGCCACCUUCCAAUAGCACACUGAGGACCAAGACUUUUUUUUUUUUUUAAGAGAAAAUAUGUACUUAUCCUUUCUGUUACUAAAAUAUGUCUUUAGUUGUUGGUGAACCUUUCUUUUCUUUUUUUUUUUUUUUUGUGUGUGUGUAGGGGGGAUAUGGUUCUGAGAAUCGAACCCAGAGGCUCACACAUGCUAGGCAAGUGCUGUACCACUGAGCCACAACCCCAACCACAGAACCAAGACACUGGGGUCUGGAUCAACAUUCCAAAUCCAAACUAUGACAUUAGAUUUUCUUCUAGUUUUCAUACAUUAACACUGAUCUUGCUCUCCCAAACUGAUGUAGCCUAAUACCAUCAGUGACCACUAAUUGAAAUAGCAAAAUAUUAUUUUUCAAUAUAUCUUUAAUCUCUUCCUUUUGCUCUGCCAAAUGCUCUCUACUAGGCAGGUCUUAUUGUUUAGUCAAAAACAACUCUGUGUAUUUACAGAGAAUAAUCAUAACUCAUUUUAUUACUACUAAUAAGUUUACUGUGGACAAACAGAAAUAGUAAAAAUUGCAUAAAUAUAAAAACAUAAUUUUUCAAAUUAAAAAAUUAAUGUGAUACACAUUUUUAUCUGUGUUUUUGAGUAUGUGAGGUUUUUAAUGUCAAUAGUUAGCCCCCAGAAAUGAAAUAGAGAAGCAUUAUAAAUAUCAGAACACCUUUAAUCUAGUUAUAAAAAUAAACUACAUUCAGCUUUGACAUUUUUAAUAUUUUGACAUUCAUUGAAACAAGGGAUAUUAGAGUCACACUACCCAGUACUUUAUCUCCUGUAUUUAGCAUUGAACUUAUAGUGCAAGAUUAGACAGCUAUAAUUUUAAAUUAGCAUUGGGUUUCAAAGAUUUAGCCUAGUAAAAAAGAGUAUAAAGUAUAUAUUUUUAUUGAUUACAUAUCAAAACAGUAAUACUUUGCACAUAUUGUUUAAAUACAAUGCAUUAUUAAUUUAAUAGGACUUAUUUCUUCUUAGUUUCCCAAUGUGAUUACUAGAAAAUUAAAAAUUACAUAUAUGACACACAUAUUGUGUUGAAUUGCCAUCUUUUUUAGAGAAUGAAUUUUGUUAGGGCAUGAGAUUGAGUGAAUUGAAAAAAAAUGUGAUGUCAAAUAGGAUUGGAAAGAAUUAGUACAUGCCAAAUUAUAAAAUGAUUAUGGGAGAAGGGUAGUCUGGCAAAAUUAUGAAUAAGUACAUUUCAGUGUUUUGAUAAAUAUAAUGAAUAAUUUGUUAACAUGUAAAACAAUAGUAUUAGCAUCCCUGCAUCCCUACCUUGUCUCCCAUCUAAUUCAGACAAAUAGGACUGAUUAUCUUUAAUCCCUGGGAAGUGAUGAGCCUAUAGAGCCUAGAGAACAAAAGAAUAAGUGUUCAUUUCUUAUCUUCAAAAGCCUAGAACUUGGGGCAUGAACAAUGGAUAUGGAAGAAUGCCCCAAACAUUCAGAGUGAAUUUCUCUUAUCUUUAAAACUAAACAGAACUUUCACCAGCUGAAGAAGAGUAGGGAGGAAGAGAGAGAAAGAAUGAGAGAGUUUAGGUAGCAUCAUGUUCCUGGGUAAGGGGCCUCUAGCCUGCAUUUCACAGAGACCACCAACCUGAAAGUGGGAGAGGGAAUAAAGUAAUUCACACCCUGAAGACUUUGGUCUUACACAGCAAAAUAGCAACAUUCCAGGGUUCUGACCAACACAGCCUGGCACUCAGUCUGCAAAAUACAAAUGAUCAUUUGAUGGUUUAUGUGAGAACAUGGUCUUAGUUAGCCCCAGUGCCAGAGGACUUCAUGACAGAGAGGAUCUGCAUGUUUCCCAAGCUCUCAAUAGGAAUAAGGAAAUAACUGAAAGAGAGCUCCAUAGGGGGAGGCCUAUCAACAGGGGUGAAAAAUGUCCAAGUAUCAACUGGUCCAGAUGGAGAGCUGAGAAAAAGCUAGGAUUAUAUAUACCUCCAUUAAGCCUAGAGGAUCUACAGCCAGAUUUACUUCUUCUGACUACUCUGGUCUAAAUGAUUGUGUCUCUUCAAAAUAUAUAAGUUGAAGCCAAAUCUCCCAUGUGACAGUAUUAAGAGACAGAGCCUUUGGGACAUAAUAAGGUCAUAAGGGUGGAGCCCUCACAAAUGAUUUUAGUGUCCUUAUCAAAGAUAUCCCACAGGCAUUAACUAGCACUUUCCAUGUGAGGACAUAGCAGGAAGGUGCUGUGAGAAAUCAGGCCCUCACUAGACUUCAAAUCAGAGGAUGCCUUGAUCUUGGACUUCCCAGCUUCCAAAACUGUAAGAAAUACAUCUCUGUUGUUUAUAAGCUAUCCAGUGUGAGGUAUUUUCAUAUAGCUGCCUAAAUGGACAAGGACAGAUUCCAAGAGUUGUUAUUUCAAGAAGUACUGGAAGAUACAUGCAACUUGGGGAGCAAAAGAAAAAAUGAUACUUGGAAAUAGAAGUUAAAUUAUUUCUGAAGUAUGAAGAUUAUAUUUCUUGCAAACCUGAAUUUAACCUUUGAGCUUCAUAUCUGUUACUUGAUUGAUAAGGUAACAAGGAACAUCGACAUACUUAAAAUUCUGAAAGAUUUGGGAAAGAUUUUAUUUAGUUUAUUUUUUUUAAAUAUUUAUUUUUUAGUUGAAGUUGGACACAAUAUCUUUAUUUUAUUUAUUUAUUAUUUAUGUGGUGCUGAGGAUCGAACCCAGGGCCUCACACGUGCUAGGUAUGCACUCUACCACUGAGCAAAACCCCAGUCCGCCCCUUUUAAAAAAAUAUUUAUUUCUUAGUUGUAGUCAGUUGUUUAAUUUAUUUUAUGAGUAUACAUCUUAAAAGUAAGGGGGAAAAGAUUUCAAUAUCAUUUUGGUCCAAUCCUAGUAAAGCAUUUAGCAUCCUCUCUUUGUCCCCUUUUAACUGCUGUGUCGCAAUACUGAUGUAUAUCUUAGGCAUUAUAUUGGAAGUAUUUCAUAUUGCAUCACAUCAGAGCUGACCUAAUGUCAAGUUUUACCACCAUUUGAUUCCUUGGUUAAUGUGGGUAUGACCAGGCCUCUCAUUCUAUAGACACAUUUCCCCUUGACAGUGAGUGAGUCAUCUGUGGGUUUAGCCUCUCCUGACUCCAUCCAUUCUUCCUUCCUUCUCCACUGUGGUUCCUGACCAGGUGCUUACCUCAUAGUUUAUCUACUUUAAGCUUCCUUUCUUAAAAGUCUACUUCAAUAAAACAUGGGAUUGCUAUAAUAAUUCAGUGACUUAAUAUGUGCAAAACAAGUUUGUAAAUUGCACAGUGGUUACAAUUGUAAGCCAAGUUUAUUCCUAUAGAGCAGAAGUUUCAGAUAGUGCUCUGAGAAGUCCAUUCUGCGGAUGCAGUGGCACUCUGGUACGUGCUUAAAAACUAGCUCAAAAUGAACCCUGAUUUUGCAAUACCAUCCACUUCUGCAUUGUUAAUACUCCCACCCUGGCUGAUUUCAAGCUAGCAACAUUAUGCCAAUUAGACUGAAAAAUUCCAGAAUUUUAGCAAUCAGUUAUUUCAGAGCAUAAAGAAGAGAGUUCCAAGGGCUAGGGUUGUGGCUCCGUGGUGGAGCACUUGCUUAGCACAUGUGAGGUACUGGGUUUGAACCUCAGCACCACAUAAAAAAAAUAAAUAAAAUAAAGUUAUUUUGGAGGAGGAGGGAGCUCCAGAAUGAAAAGAGAGGCAAGGUUACCAAAUUUUGCAAAUAAAUAUUUGGAAUAUAGUUAAACAGCUAAAACUGAAACAGUAGGUCUAUAUGAAUUUAGGUGGAUAUCCUGAAUUUUAUCUGACAGUUCUGUAGAGGACUGGUGUCUGUGUGUGUGUGUUUGUGUGUGUGUGUGUGUGUGUGUAGAGAGAGAGAGAGAGAGAGAGAGAGAGAUAGGGGAGAAAGAGGGAGAGAGAAGGAAUUUUUUUCUAGUGUGUUGGGGGUAUAAAUGAGGGCUCUAAAAAGGUCUAUAUUUCCAUAUUCACUCUAGCCUCCACCAGGGAGCCUCUGCUUUCACUGGAUUGAUAUAUAGUUUCUUUUCUCCAUUGUCUUUUGUUUGGACAGAGAAAUGUUAUGGGAAAAUAUUCCCAAUUUUUUUACUUCAUCUUAACACUAAGUCCUCUGGUCAAAAAGAGACUUUGACAAGCAGAAUUGAAAAGUUAAAAGUAGCAAAUGAAACUCUUUUGAAAUUCUACAUUAUUUAAAGAGGAUUUCUACCUUGAUCAAACUCAGUUCCAACACUUUCAAAAGUUGAGUAAGAAAAAUCCAGUAGUAUUUUAAAAGAUUUUAAAAGAUUGGGAAUUAGAAUUUUAUUUAGGUUUAUUUAUACUUUGGUUGUAUGUAACUCCUUUAAAGAGGGCCUAUAUUUAGGUAAAGUAGUUCCCUUUAAUGUGUAAAAUAAGCUUACAACUGAUUGCCUCUAAUUGCUAUAUUCGGGUAGGAUAUACUCUGUCCAUAUAUUUAUAUUAAAUAUUAUAUUAAAGAUAUUUACUUUUAUAGUGGGAAGAACAGAAAGAAAAAUCACUUUUGCCACAUUGUUGUAGUUUGAGUGUGCUUGUUCUCCAUAAGAAGAAAUAUAUGCAUAAGACUGAAUGAUCUAUUUAUUUGUUUGUUUGCUUGUUUGUUUUGGUGGUGCUGGGGAUUGAACCUAAGGCCUUGUGCAUAAGACUGAAUGAUUUACCAAGGAUACCUGUAAGUCUAGGGCUGUCAUAACAAAUACUCCACAGUGUGACUUAACCAUCAGAAAUUUAUUUUCUCAUGCUGUAGUCACUGGAAGUCCAAGACCAAGGCAUUGGCAGCUUUGGAGUCUCCUGAGGCUUCCCUCUUUGGUGUGCAGAUGGCUGCCUUCUGUCUGUGUUUUCACCUGCCUUUCCUCUGUGUGUGCAUCACCGGUGUUUCUUUGUUCCAAUCUCUUCCUAUAAAGACAUCUGUCAACCCCAAUGGCCUCAUUUUAAUUUAACAAACCCUUUGAAAACCUUAUAUCCAAAUACAUUCACAUACUGAAGUACUGGGGAUUAGGACUUGAACAUAUGCAUUUGGAGGGCACAAUUCAGCAAAUAACAGCGUCUUUCUUUAUGAAAGUCUAUUAAGUUGUAAUAUAUAUUUCUAAUUCUUUCUCAUCAGGAAAACCAUCCAUAUUUGAAUAAUGCCAGUACACACAGAAUCGGAUCACCCACCCUUUUGUCAAAGCUUGCCACCCUCUUCUUCUCUUGUUUAAAUGUACAAGCAGAAGUCUGUUUCUUCUCCGAAUUCAUCUACCACCUUUUACAACUUGAUCUCUCUAGUCCAGUGUCCUGAACUGCUAUGACAGGUUUCUUCAUUAAAUGUUUAUAUGCCUGCUGUCUCUCAGUUGGCAAUAUUCUUCUUACUACUGUCUCCCUUCCUUCAAUUCUUCUUCAGUCAGAUGUGACUUCUCAUAACAACUUCCCUACAACUAUCUAAUUUAUAGUCCUCUAACCUGAUGUUCCUUGGCUUAUUGUAUUCGCUGUAGCAUUUAUUACUAAUAAAUUUUAUACUUUAUUUACUGAUCUUGUUUAUUAUCUGUUUCCAUCACAAGUAUACAUAAUAGAUAUUUGUCUGCUUUGAUGACUGAUGUAUUCUUUCUAUUUAGAAUAUUGUCUGGAAAAUUGCUGAUGCUCAAUAAGCACUAUGAACAAAAUGAAUGAAAGAACACUGUGGUUCAAUUUAGAUUCAUCUUCUUUCAAGUUCUCUUGUUUUUACUAUGAAAAGAGGCAAUGCAGUCCAGUGAUCAAGAGCACAGGCCUUGGAGGCACAAAGAAUUUGGCUGCUCUGCCUGCCAAUGGCUGAUCUUAAGUCUUUUCCAUCCAAGGUUAACUCAUUGAAACUGAAAUUAAUUACCUUCUUAAAAAGAGUAAUGAGAUUAACUGGGUUAAGUGGUUGGCAGGAUGAUAGAUAUGUUUUUAUUCUAAACCCUGAAAGCUCAGAGAAAGGGCUUCAGUUGUGGCUCAGUGGUAGAACUCUUGCCUAGCAUGUGUGAGGUAUUGGGUUCGAUUUUCAGCACCACAUACAAAUAAAUAAUAAAUAAAAAAAGGACCCGUCAACAACUAAAAAAUUUUUUUUAAAAAGCUCAGAGAAAGAUGGUUACAAUUGAUUAACCAGUUCUGCUCUGGAAAGGAUGGAGGUGGGAGAUAUCAUAAAUGCCAAAUGAACCCAGAUUCAAAUAAUCAGUUCUUAUGAUCCUCAGGUCAAAUUAUGGGGUUUUAAUUUCUAAUUUUAUUUAUAGAGAUUAUCUUUGAAAGCUACAAUAUUAUGACAAUUUGUGUAGAUUAUUUUGGUUUCAAAACUGAAAAGUGAGUUAAAAAUCAGUAAUUUUGUUUCUUUUUAAAUAUUUUUUAGUUGUAGUCGGACACAAUACCUUUAUUUAUUUAUUUUUAUGUGGUGCUGAGGAUCGAACCCAGGGCCUCACACAUGCUAGGCGAGCACUCUACCACUGAGCCACAACCCCAAGCCAGUAAUCUUGGUUUUACUAUCAUUAAUAUCCUUUUUUGAUGGUUAAAUAUUCUGUUGUCAUUUCUUUGCCAAUUUUUGUCUUGCAUUUUCAAACAUUUCUUAGAGCGUAGUAUGAGUUGGAAGGGAUCUCUAAAGUAUUCUGUUUAUAUCCUUUUCUAAGGGAGGAAGGUAAAGUUCAGACUGAGACUUGCUACUAGAAGACCAGGAACAGAUAUGAAAUGCAGAAGAAAUUAACACAUCUCACCCCAAGAGCUCCGGAAAGUGGAUGCAUUUCAGGAGAUUGGCUGAAUGAAUAUACCUUGUCUGCUGCAAGUUCAUAUUACUGAAAGGAUCUUUGCCUGGAAACCCAGUUCUUCCCAUUAUACCACUCUGAUUGUUCUCUUUACUAAUGAUGGAUUACAAUCUUUCUAAUGCUAGACCUUGGUCUCCCACUGAGAAAGUGCCUUGGGGUGCUUAAUCCUGUCCUGGUAACAGUAUGGACUUAAAUGGUGCUCUAAGAUUCCUCCUGAUUUAAAUUGACUUGCAUUUGUGAGACCACAUUUGAAUUUGUAACCUAACAAAGAGCCACUGACUAUUUUGAAAGAACAGGACUUUCACAUGAUCAACCCCUCUCCUUGAAAUGCUUACAAAAUAAUCUUUCUUCUAAGGUCUUUGUAUUUCCUGAGACAAGCUUUCUUCCUCUUGCUUUUUCCUGAAUGAGGAAGUACUUAUAAUCUCACCUCUUAAAUUACAUUUUAAGGCCUCACAAACCACAGUAAAGGAAGGGACAGAGUCAGCUCUAAUUUCAUAAACUAUCUGUAAGAGAAUUAAUUGCAACCUGACUUAUUUUUUUCUUUUCACAAAGAAGCUGUAAAGGAAUCCCAUAAAUUUUGAAGGAGGAAUAAAUUCUCUCUUAAAGGAGUAAAACUGUAGUAAAAUAUUAAAAUAGCACAAAUUAAAGUUGACUGGAAUCUCCUGUAAAAUCAAACCAAGGAAAAGAGUAGUAAAUAUCACUCUGCAGAAAAAUUAGUGUCUCUCCAGCAAUAAAACCAACUAAAAGAUUACAUUUAAAUAUAAACUAUAUAAAGCCUUCUGAUUCAAGAUACACAAAAAUGAAUUCAGUCAAGUAUAUUUGUUAACCAAACAUCUUUAGAAAACUGAAUCUUCAAAGGUGAUAUUUAUAUCGUCUUACAUCAAAUUAUUUGAUAUUAGUUGUUUGUCAUUACUUAGGACACUAUCCUCUCUACAUUUUACAUAUAAGAUUCAAUUAAAUCCUCAUGAAACUUAAUGACCUAAUAUUCACUAAAAUAUUCAUAUGGAGAACAAUUCUUUUGAAUCAAAGACCAGAAUGUGAGUCUUCCCUCUGCCACUAAUUGGCAUGUUAUUUGAAUUUUCUGUAUUCUGUAUUCCAGCUUCCCCUGGAUAGGAACAAUAUUUGUAUUCAUCCUUAUAAGGAUGGUGAAAAGAUUAUGAGUUAGUAGACAUGAAGAAUUUGGAGCAAGCUAUGGUUUGAAUACAGUUUAUCCCUGCCACAACAUGGAGUAUUAUUCUCUAGCUGUAGCAAUGUUGGGAAAUGGAGCCUGGUGGCAAGUGCUAGCUUCUUGGGAAUAGAGUCUUCCUGAAUGGAACAAUCUUUUCUCAAGGGAAUGCCUUAGCUAUUGCAAGAAAUUGGCCCUCUUUCCUCUCUUUGCAUAAACCAUUUGCCCUUCUGCUUUUCCACCAAACAUGGAGCAGCAUGAGACUCUCACCAGAGGCCCAAUAGAAGACGGUGCCAUGCUGUUGGACUUUCGGAACCAGAAUGCAAAAUAAGCCUCUUCUCUUUAUUAAUUACCCACUCUCUCAUGUACUCUGUUAUAGCAGCAGAAAUAAACUUUGAAUAAUAGAAAACUUUUAAAAAGUUAGUCGAUAUUUAUUGUGACA